UCUUCCCAUGCUUCUUUAAUCACACAUGACAGAGAGGAACGGAGGGAAUGUGGAAGCUUACACACUAUUGAACUUUGGUGUGAACCCUAUGCAGAGAUUUCCAAAAUUAGGUUCUUAGGCCAGGUUAUUUUUGUGAUUUAGUACUUAAUGCCACCCUUCUUGCUAGGGUUUACUACUUUUAUCCUUUUCCUCUAAUGUUGGUUUGGAGAUCUAGUGCGCUUCUUCCUAGAUCCGACCUUGCCCUCUCUUUCCUACCUCAUCACCGGAAAACUCCCGACAAGGGAACUAAGGCCUAGAUUAUGAGGUAAACAAAAGUAUCUAAUUUUCUUUUUUUUUACCACAAAAGCUAAAGCUGUAGUGAAGGUUUAUCCAAGCUGAUUUGGACUAUGACACAUUGCUCUUAGAUGUCGACCUCUCAUAAAUGGAGGCAAAUCGAGNNNNNNNNNNNNNNNNNNNNNNNNNNNNNNNNNNNNNNNNNNNNNNNNNNNNNNNNNNNNNNNNNNNNNNNNNNNNNNNNNNNNNNNNNNNNNNNNNNNNNNNNNNNNNNNNNNNNNNNNNNNNNNNNNNNNNNNNNNNNNNNNNNNNNNNNNNNNNNNNNNNNNNNNNNNNNNNNNNNNNNNNNNNNNNNNNNNNNNNNNNNNNNNNNNNNNNNNNNNNNNNNNNNNNNNNNNNNNNNNNNNNNNNNNNNNNNNNNNNNNNNNNNNNNNNNNNNNNNNNNNNNNNNNNNNNNNNNNNNNNNNNNNNNNNNNNNNNNNNNNNNNNNNNNNNNNNNNNNNNNNNNNNNNNNNNNNNNNNNNNNNNNNNNNNNNNNNNNNNNNNNNNNNNNNNNNNNNNNNNNNNNNNNNNNNNNNNNNNNNNNNNNNNNNNNNNNNNNNNNNNNNNNNNNNNNNNNNNNNNNNNNNNNNNNNNNNNNNNNNNNNNNNNNNNNNNNNNNNNNNNNNNNNNNNNNNNNNNNNNNNNNNNNNNNNNNNNNNNNNNNNNNNNNNNNNNNNNNNNNNNNNNNNNNNNNNNNNNNNNNNNNNNNNNNNNNNNNNNNNNNNNNNNNNNNNNNNNNNNNNNNNNNNNNNNNNNNNNNNNNNNNNNNNNNNNNNNNNNNNNNNNNNNNNNNNNNNNNNNNNNNNNNNNNNNNNNNNNNNNNNNNNNNNNNNNNNNNNNNNNNNNNNNNNNNNNNNNNNNNNNNNNNNNNNNNNNNNNNNNNNNNNNNNNNNNNNNNNNNNNNNNNNNNNNNNNNNNNNNNNNNNNNNNNNNNNNNNNNNNNNNNNNNNNNNNNNNNNNNNNNNNNNNNNNNNNNNNNNNNNNNNNNNNNNNNNNNNNNNNNNNNNNNNNNNNNNNNNNNNNNNNNNNNCCCCCCUCCUCUCUCUCUCUCCCCCCUUUCUCCCUCCCCCCGUCAUUGACUUUUUGAUAUGCUUCUCUAUUCUCCAAAGCUGUUGUGGCUCUUGUUAAGUUGCUAUCUUAAAGUCCUUUGCUCCCUCCCCUUUUGGGCUCUUUGCACUCUUUGUUCGGUAUCCUGCUUGGAUUUUGUUUGGAUCCUGUGAUUCAUUCCCUCGUGAAAGACAGGAACCAGCGUUUAAAUGCGCUACUAUGACUGUGGACUGUACAUUUGGCAGGAGUUUGGAUGGAACGGGGCUUUUGCUCUUCCUCUUUUAAUCCUUUUCUCUUACAUGUACCAUGUCACUUCAUAUUUAGAAGGGUUAGUCGGCUGUCUUAGGGUUCCCCGUUGCACAUUAGGGUUGGUCAAAGUAAAAGGGCUAAAAGAGAGGUAUUUCUCAUUCCAAAAAGUUAUUUAGAUCAUUUAUGCCAUUUUUUUAAAAAAAAAUUCAGAAAUUAUUUUCAAAUCAGUAUUGAAAGCGGGGUUUAACAAUUCAACAUAUGACUUUCUUACAAGAAGGUUAUCAUGCCAUAAACAUGAAUAUUGCUGGCGAGAUUUAAAAUUAUGGCCAUCAUAAUGUUACAAUCACCUCCAUUAACACUUGCAAAGGCCUCUCAUUGCAUAUUCUAUAUUAACAACAAGAAUUUAACAUCUUGAUAUGAUGUUAUAUGACUGUUAUUCCAUUAUAAUGAUAAUUAUAUAGGGAGAAUAAGAGAUGCUAUUUAACAUCUUGAUUCUUCAUUUGAUUAAGACUGUUUUUUGAAUUAAACUAUCUAUGACAGUUGAAUUUUUUUUAUUAGUAAACGGUGACUUAGUAAAUAGCAUCUUUAGUUUUAAGUUAUCAUCCGUUGUAUGACCUCUUUUUCUUUUUUGGGAGCCAGGAAAAUUGCUUUCUUUUCAAGUUUUAUAUUGCACCUGAAAGAUUUUGAAUUUUGAAUGGAUCUUUUAUUCUGUUCUAACAUUGAUCUGUUUUAUAACAAUGUCCAGACACUGCUCUAAAUAUUCUUUCCCAGUACUUCCCUUUUUAUCAACAGUAGUUUAGAAUUAAUGCAACAGCAAAUGUGUUUUUUUUAAUGUUCUAGCAACCAUGCGGUUCUUAACUUCUUCUUAUCUAUGGUGUUUCAUGGCCCAUGCUACUGCCUUGCUGAGCACGUGAGCACAAAUUUUAGGUUCCAUGCUGUUUUACCUCCACAUAUAAUAGCCAUGUUGAUCCUUAAGACUCCACAUAAAAUAUCUAAGCCUUGGACCUACCAAAAGCACGAGAUCACACUUUGGAACUUGAACUGUUUUUGUAUGAACUUAUUUGAAAAUCUUUCAGCACCCCCCUCCCCUUUGCCUCUAUUUCGAUUCAGACCAUGGAGAGAGGGGGGGAGAGAGAGAGAGAGGAUCUGUGGAUGGAUACCUUCCUGUGCCCUUUCAGUGGGCUGCUGACGGUCAUUUUUCAACAUGGUAUCUGGACUUCGACAUGCAUACAAGAAGGUGCUCCAAGACUUGUCCGGUCACACUUGCAGGCGACCGUGUCCCUUGUGUGUCCAUGUGACACAUGUGUCCCUUGUGGGUCCAUAUGAGACCAUUAUCAUCUCGGUACCAAGACUGCCACGAAUCACUUCGGGUUGCGAGGGGUCGGAUGGGCUUGUCUUUUCCUCCUCUCCUUCCACCAGACACCAUCGUUCAUAGACCAAACCAGGUCCGACAAGAUGUCUGCCCAAAAGGAUCUGGAUUUGAUGACCACUGGCAGUCGAGGGUGUUCGAUCUUGUUCUGGUAAUCCUCAGAGAAGGUUGCGCCCAGUAGUCUCUUUUGGGUCCUGGUCGGUGAGUUUGUUUAUAACCUCUACCGCCCUGCUCCAUUGACCAACUCUGGCUUCUGUUUGAGCUUUGAAGGAACCACAGAAUUUUUCUAUUUCAUUAAUACCAGAAAAAAGGGCAGAGCUCAAGGUCACGUCGCCAUAUACGUAUUCUACCUAAUAUGAAAAGACGGGCUUCAGAGUUCAAGGAGGAUAGGCCACCCUUCAGAGUAUCUCGCCAGCUGGGGAUCAUGCCAGUGGCCUCUAUGCAUGACAGAAGAAUGCUUCAAGACAACGGCCGUUGUAAAGUCAUCGCCCACUGUUUCGAUCUCAGAGUUUUCUAUAAUAUCAUGCAAGGGACGAAAUUCUUUACGGUAUUCAAAAAAUAUCGUAGAAUAUUAUGGGUGAUUAGAUGUCAUUAUCAUGAAAUGAAUGGCUGUUUAAAUUAUUUAAAUAUUUCAAAAUUUAUAUAUAUAUAUAUAUAUAUAUAUAUANNNNNNNNNNNNNNNNNNNNNNNNNNNNNNNNNNNNNNNNNNNNNNNNNNNNNNNNNNNNNNNNNNNNNNNNNNNNNNNNNNNNNNNNNNNNNNNNNNNNNNNNNNNNNNNNNNNNNNNNNNNNNNNNNNNNNNNNNNNNNNNNNNNNNNNNNNNNNNNNNNNNNNNNNNNNNNNNNNNNNNNNNNNNNNNNNNNNNNNNNNNNNNNNNNNNNNNNNNNNNNNNNNNNNNNNNNNNNNNNNNNNNNNNNNNNNNNNNNNNNNNNNNNNNNNNNNNNNNNNNNNNUUAUAAUUAAUAUAUAUAUAUAUAUAUAUAUAUAUAUAUUAUAUUUUUUUUUUUUAACGUAUAUACAAGUGCGUGCGCAGCCGUCCACAUGUACAAUAUUUUAGAGUAUUUUUUAAAUACCGUAGAAGAUAAAAUAAAAUUUUCAGACUCCAUUUAGAAAAUAUUAAAUUGAUAAUAAAUUAAUAAUAUAUAUACGAAUAUCAUUUGUAUCAUAAAUAAUUUUUAUAUUUACUAUCUGCGCCCAUCGUGCAAAUAUAUUCACCUACGUACGUUAAAGGACAGUCGAUGGGUUUUUAAGGACGUCAUGUAUCAGAACAUGGUGAGCCCGUUACAUAUCCGAAUCCUGUAGCUUAGAUUCAUAUGACAACGACUGCGACGCCAAUUGUUCACCGUAUCCACCUGCAUCCACCAUGCCACAUGUCCAAAUUGUGCUGCUCUGGUGCUGCAUGGUAACGAUCUGUGGCACCAGCUGUCCACCAUGCAUCCACUAUAUUUGUGCUGAAAAGAGAAAAAAAAGGAUAGUGAUGGAUGGAAGUGGACCGUUCUCAACCAUACCAUAUCAAAUCAUUCUAAAUAGGUUAAGGUGUAGAUUUACGUAAGUUUAGAAGACCAUUCAUGAAAGGCUUACUGUACUCUAUUUUCUUAGCUGUUUGGGCUAGACUAAGGAGCUUAAUAAGAGACAGGAAGGCGCAGGUCGGCAAAAGGAAUAACGUGUCAAUUUGCUAGAAUGGAACCAUUCCAUUUUUGUUAAAAAAAAAAAUUCAUAAUGAAAAGGACUAUGGAGCUACGGAGGAAUUUGGUUGUCCGACGGCGAGGAGAAGGGUUCAAUCUUUUGAGCAAGAUCCAUAGCGGGAGAAAAAGUGUUUUUAAGCAGCAGUGUGGGGCUGUUGUUUCUCCAUCAUUGUACUGGAAAAGAAGUGAGUCUCUGGGGAGGUUUCCUUCCUCUUUCUUCUUUUUUUUUUUUUUUUUCAUUUUUUGAUACUUAUCAGAGGCCCGGGGGUUGCUGGUAGGUGAAUCACAGUCUUCUUCCUCCAAUGACGCAUCAUUUGAGCAAGAGAGGUCUUGCCUAGCCCAAAAUUUAGUUGUAAUUUUCUUCCUUUUUUAUGAGUUUGGUUUCCAUCAGUUCUUUGGGGCGUUGCUGCUGGUCAUACAGCGGCCCUCCACGUCCCAUGUUUAAACAUCAUAUGAAAGAGGUGAGUGGUUGGUCCAGAUUGGAUGGUCGGAUAAGAGGAGAACAAUUGAGAGAGUAAAGAGUGAAAUAGCUAGGUGGAGAGAGAGAUGAACAGAGGGGCGGAGAGGGCUGUGGAGAUAGAUAGUGAAAGGGGCGGAGAUUGGAGAGAAGAGAUAAAUAGAGUGGUGUGAGGGCUAUGGAGAUAAACAAUAAAAGGGAUGGAAAAAGGAAUGAAUGGAGGGGUUGAGAGAGCCGUGGAGAUAGAGAGUGAAAGAGAUUGAGAAAGAGGUAAAAAAAGAGGUGGAGAGGGUUGUGGAGAGAGAAAAUUGAAAAAAACGAGGAAGCAAGAUUUUAUUAUUUAAAAAAAAAUGUAUAGAAUUUUUGUGCGGCCAUCCAUAUAAAAAUAAAGGAAAAAACUUUCUGUGAAUGUAGCCGCAUAAAAAAAAUAUAUGACGAAAUAUCACAUAUUUUUUUUUUUAUACGGAUGUUCAGACAAUAUAAGAUCAGAUCAUCCGUAUAUAGAUGAGCUCGUAUGGAGAGAAAAAAUAGAUGGCCGUAUAGAGCUGAGGGCCUCUGCCGUCUAUGCGGUCCUUCGCGAUUGCAAGGGCCUCCGGUACUGGUGGAAGGUGGUCGGUUGGAGGGGAGAAGAAAGGAUGGGAGGAGGUUGUUGGAGGCUUAUCUAAAGCUGGACUAGGCCAUUGGAGAAGUUAAAAUCAUCCAUCUUAAUGGCAGUUAAGAUGUACAUAUAUAUAUAUAUAUGUAUAUAUGUAUAUAUAUAUAUAUGUGUGUGUGUGUGUGUGUGUUAUAUAUAUAUAUAUAUAUAUAUAUAUAUAUAUAUAUGUAUAUACGUAUAUAUAUAUAUAUAUAUNNNNNNNNNNNNNNNNNNNNGUAUAUAGAUAUUAUAUAUAUAUAUGUAUGUAUAUAUGUAUAUAUGUAUAUAUAUGUAUAUAUAUAUAUGUAUGUGUGUGUGUGUGUGUGUUAAAAAAGAGGUUAUAUGUAACCUUUUGUACAAAAUUCCUAGGUUAUUAAGAAAAUUCUAAUAACAAUGUUUUAGUCACCAUUUGUUGCAUACCUAAAUUUUUCUUAGGUAUAAAAGUUUUGGUGGAUAUUUUGAUGUGUAGGAUUAAAUUUAGAGAAAAAAUUUUGCAAAAAAAAUAUAAAAAUGUUUUUAAAAAUUUAUGUAAAUUGUUAUGUAAUAAUUGUUUAUUAGUUUAUGCGGACCCAGUUUCUUCACUUGUUUUAGUUUAGUCUUGAUUUAAAUUUGUUUAAGUAUGAAUGAGUUAGACAUAAAAAUAGAUAUGUCCAUUAUUUUUGCAUGAAAAAAUAUAUAAUAAAUUUUUUAAAUUGAGAAGUUAUUUUGUUAAUCAUGAUCUAAAUUUCUUGUAAUUUAAAAAGAUUUGAAUUUUUGGAAUAUUUAAAUUUGCAAGAUAUUAUAUCAUAUCAUUUAAAUUUUCAAUUUGAUCCAAAUUUAACACUUGGAUUAUAUAGUUUUAUCAUGAUUAGUUUUAUUGUUUACUAAAUUUUGUGUUACUUAAUUUAUGUUAUGUUAAAUCUAUUUUCAUUAAUUUUGAAUAAAAAGGUAUUUAUUAUGAUUUAGCACUUUUUUAUUAAAUAUCUAAUUUUGCAGUUGAUUAUGUUUGAAGGGAUAGAAUUAGUGAAAAUAUCAUCAAAAAUGAUUUUUAAGGAAAUAAUUGAUAAAUUAGGACUUCCAAAAUCAAUCCAUGGAGUUAAGGUCUGAGAAAAUCAUUGGUUAAAAUCUUAUAUAGAAACUAUGGUAGAGCGGGAGAUGAAGCACCUGAAAUUCUAAAAAUUUGGGGAAAUACAUUGAGGAGCCAAAGUGAGUCUGAUGAAAGUACUAGAGGGUUUACGAUAAACAAGCUUAAAAAAAAUUAAAUUCAAAAUUGAAGAUCAUAAUUUUGAAGAUAAAGAAUAUUAUAAAUAUAUGUAUGAGGAAAUUAAUAAUGCUCAUGAAGAUCUUAAACACGAGCAUAGGUAGCUAUAGUGGAAACAUCAUUUAUCAAUAGAUAGAUGCAAAUUAAAGGUUUAGGUCAUUUUAGUGAGCUGAAGAAGGAAGUUGAAAAAUAUAGAAAAAUAUUUCGACCUGAUAUGGAGUUAUCACUCAGUGAAAAUAUGAUUUAGGUGUUAGAUGUAUGUCCAAGAAGUCAAUGAGAUGACACAUAUUUUUUCUAGGAUAUAAUUUUAUAUUUGAUAUUUUUAUUAUUAAUAAAAUUGAUUUAAUUACUCUAUUCAUAUGGUGCAUGUGUCCAUGAAUCAUCUAAAAAAUUAAUAAGUUGAUGAUACAUAUUUUCAAGAGUUGAAAAUUUAAGGUAUGUAUCAUUGGUGAUUAAUUUCUAAAUGCUCUCGAUCAAUAGAUCAUCAUGAGAAUAAUGAUUGAUCCAGAUAAAUUGAUGUAUAUAUUGCUUUCCUUUUAGGAUAAACAAGUCUCGAGUUUAUAGUGCAGGGAUACUGGAGCGAUAGUGCAGGUGUUCGUUAGAGAACAAAGAUAUCCAGCAUAAUCAAUAUGAGAAGUUAUUUGGAUGUUUACUCAUUUAUCAGUGAUUUACUCAAUGCUACAGUAGUGUGACUAGUCUUCUGACUUGCGGUGCCUCAACUAUUCAUAAUAAGAUUACUGUAGUUUAACUACACAUACACUUGGUCCUCUAGCUAUAUGAGUUUUUGUGGUGCAUGCUAGCUGUAGUAGGUUCAUUGUAAGAAUAGAGCGUGUACGUAUAUAGAAUUUAUCACCUUUAGUAAAUAAGGAAGAUAGUCCUAUGUGAUUUAUGAGACUGAGUUUAGAAGAUCUUGGUCAGAGUAGUGUGAAUAGUGAAAAAGAAUUUUCAUAAUUUUUAUAUCAAAAAUUUGAGUUGAAUAAAUUAAUAUAUAACAGAUGAUAGGGUUUGACGAAAAAUUUCAUAAUCUCCAUCUUAUUAAGACUUAUGAUAGAAAGACUGAAUCAUAUAGUAACUAUAUCUAGAUAUUCAUUUAUUUCGUUCUACUAAAAUACCACUACAUGCUGCUAGGCGCAUUGGUGGAUUGUGAGACUCAUAAAAGUUAUUUUGAUAGUCAAUUAUUCUCAUUGGAUGAGUUGAAAUUAUUUCAAUCUAUAGAAAGGAGUUUCAAUGAUAUGUUGAUGGAGAUCACAAUAUAUCUCACUAUCAGAUAGAAUAGAAUCUAUAGAGUCGCACAUAAAUAGGUUGUGUCUGAUUAAAUGGUUAGAUUUAGUUUGAUAUGUCAAAGAGUUGAUAUGAUCCAAUCCAAAGGUAAUUGGACUCCUUUUGAGAUAAGAAUUUUGAUUUAGUUAAAUUCCACACCCCUUGAAACUCUAUCUGUCAAGGUGAUUAAUGUGCAGAAGGACUCUUCCUAAGAGUUGGUGCCACUUUUCUUCACACCUAAGCCUUUCUCAUGCCCCAAUCAAUUCCACAUGAAAUAGGAGGGAGGGCAUGUGCAUAAGAGAAGUUCCCCACUUAAGUUGGACUCUUGGCACCCAGGUAUUGGGACACCCAAAACCAGAGUUUGAUAUGGAAAGGAGUCCUGAUCUAAGAAGGAAAGUGGAUGCACCAAGGGUUGGCACCCCAUCUUUCGUUAUGUGACUUUCCCAUGCCAUACUCCUUGCGCAUAAACUCCUCAUGUAUGAAGGAGUCCAUACCUCAUAUUGCGAAGUAUUUUUCUCACGCCCCUUCUCUCUUGGAUGACAUCUAAUGCUCUAGAGUCCUUCUCCCUUUGGACUCCAGCCCCUAAUUCCCAACACGUGAAGGAGUUCACAUUGAGGAGGAGUUCUCACAUUAAAAGUGGGUAACUCCAAGGUGGGUGAGUGCACAAAAUUAUUCACGCCCCUUAAAACCUCAUAUCUAAGUUGUUAGACGCUAAGGAGGGUGUGUGAUGUAUUUUUCUCAUACCUCUUUUCUCUCUCUCUCUCUCUCUCUUGUAUGUCCAAGGAGUUUGGACAUCCUAAGCCCUCACGCCCCAUCUCCCACUCUCUUGUAUGCCUAAGGUUGGAUUAUCCUAGCUUUUUUCACAUGAGGGUGUUCUAACAUCCAAAGGUUGGACCGCAAAGAGGGAAAGAUCCUUAAGAAGGCUCACACCCAAGAAUAGUUCUUGGGAGAGUGAAAGAGGAGAGGGAAAGAGAGAAAGGCAAUGCUAGAUUUUCUUGAAAAGGAAAUCAAGAAAGGAUCGAGAAAGGUUUUUGAUCCUUUUGGUGAAUGUGUGAGAUCGUGAAGAGAAAAUUUUUGAGAAGGAUUUUCAACAAAAAGAAAAAAAAUUCAUUAUCAAAGAAGAUCUCUGCAAGAAAGUUAGCAUCCCGAUGAGAUCAGAUAUCUUGAUAAGAUGAUAGGCUCCUGUGGAUAUCUGUAAAAGUUGGAUGCUUGUGUAGUUUCAAAAAAUCAUAAAUACAUUCAUGAUCAUCAAAUUAUGGUGAAGAGCAACCCAUACAAAAGUAAAGAUCUGACCUUUUUUUCUUUAAUCUUAAUCUUGAUAACUAUAAGGGAUCUGAGUUGAUUGAGAUGAGAUCUCGUAUAUUAAAUCUAAAUUUUUUCUCCACUGUAUGAUUUAUUGAGAUUUUAUUCUAUCCUUAUGCUGCUAAUAUCAAUCAAUCCCUAGUUUCUAACAUUAGGGUCAUUUGGUGUUUGCCGUUAUUGGUGGAUGUUUGUAUAUAGGGGCAUCUAUAUAGCUAGACAUGUGUAUUUUGUUUAUUUUUGAUUUUUAAGCUUAUCGCAUUAUCAAAACUAUCCAGCUAUUCAGUUAACAAAAUAUUGUAAUAUUCUCUUAGUAUAUAGAAAACCUAUUACUUUUUUUUGUUGGAGAUGAUUGAAGUAUAAUAAUUUUCUUUUACUUUUUUAUUAUGUAUAAUUUUUUUUUGCAUAAUGGUGGUUCGUAGAAUUUUAGGGUUAAAAAAAGGAAAAGAAAUCAGUUAAACCCUCCCUAAAGAAAAAAGCUCUUUUGCAUAUCUUAAAAAGAUUCCAAGUAAAAAAAAAAAAGAGAAAAUGAGUUAUUUGCCCUCUUGAAAUUAUUAAGUGUAAUUGUUUAUUAAUUGAAACUGAUAAUAGUUUAGUAAAAAUAGCAAGAUAGGUAAUAUUCAUAAUACCAAUAGUGAUUUUUAAAAAAAAUAAAUUUUGAUAAACAUUAUAAUAUUUUUAUUAAUAAUAUUUAAGAAUAUAAAUAAUAUUUAAUAUUAAUAUAUUAAUAAUAUAAUUUAAGUAAAACUCCAUAUAAAAUUUUCAUAAAUGGAAUAAUUAUUUUUUAAUAAUAAAAUAUUAAAUUUUAGUAACAAUGUAAUUAAUAGAAAAUAAUAUUUUGGAGUUUGUAUGUUUUCUAGAUUAUAAAGGGUGAAGAGAAAUAAGGAGAAGAAAAAUGAGAAAAAUCAAGAAAAUUAGAAGAAAGAGAGAAAGAAAAAGAAGGAAAAAAAUGUAGAAAAAUAAAAUUGCAGAAACUUAAUAUUGAAAUUAUUAUCUAGAAAGUAUCUCAUGCCAUAAAAUAUAAUUUAAUUAAAUAUUAAAAAAAUAAGAAAAAAGUAUGGUGAUAAUAUAUUAAUAGAUUUAUAAUAUACAUUAAUACAUUAAUAUAUUAUUGAUAUGUUAAUAGAUCAUUAAUAAAAAUAUAUUAUUUAUAUAUUAAUUAUUACUUAAUAUUAAUAAAAUGUUUAAUAUUGAUAUAUCAAUAAUAUAUAAUUUUAUGAAAAAUCAAUAAAAUAUUAAUAAAAAUAUUAGUUUCCAAAAAAUUAUGUAAUUAACAUAAAAUAAUAUUUUAUGAUCGCUAUUGUUAUCGUAAAAGAAGGAGAAAAAGAAAAAAGAAAAAGGAAGAGAACAUAGAGAAACAAAAUCAAAGAAACUUCAUACUAGAAUUAUUAUCUAAUAAGUGGCCUACACUAUGUAGCAAAAUUUAGUUAAAUAUUAGAAAAAUCAACAAAAACUAUGGUGAUAACAUACUAAUAUAUUAACAAUAUAUAUUAGUACAUUAUUAAUAUAUUACUAAUAUAUUAAUAUAUUACUCAAAAAAUAUCUUAUAUUUUAAUAUAUUAUUCGAUAUUAAUAAUAUUUAAUAUUAAUUAUUAACAAUCACAUUUUAGGAAAAUUUCAAUAAUAUUCAUAAAUAGAAGAAUUAUUUAUGUAUUAAUAAAAAAUAUUAAUUUCUAAGUAACGAUGUAAUUAAUUAACAGAAAAUGGUAUUUAGGAUUGGUAUGUUUUCUAGACUAAGAAAAGGUGAAAAAAAAUAAGGAGAAGAAGAAAUAUAUAAAACAACAAGAAGAAGAAUAAGGAGAGAAAGAAAAGAAAAAGGAAAACAAUAUAGAAAAACAAAAUCAGGGAAACUUAAUACAAAAUUAAUAUCCAAGAGAACUUUUUUUUGCUAUAUACAUCAGUUAUUGAAUUACUUAAAUGGAAUUUAAGGUCAAACAUUUUUGUUCCUACAAAAAUUAGCAAACCAAGAGAUCUAUUGCAAUUUAUAGGUGAUUUUUCAAUUGCAGCCCAAUUUGCUGAUCCAGUUAAUAGCAUGAGGUAUUUAUCAUGUCCACCUCAUUAUUAGUACAUUAAAUGGUUUGAAUAAUUUAGUAGAUUUGUUACUUUUUUUGAAAUGCUUUUGGAUUUCUUAUAUUGUAGAUGAGUGAUACCUUACAAUUUUUAGGGCAUUUUGCUGUAACUUGAAUUGUGACUUAGUUUAUUUAUAUUUUUGUCUGAUUUGUUAUUUUUCAAUCUCAACUAUUUUUCUAUUCAAUUGGUAGUACAGAUUCAGGAGAUAUAUAUAUAGAUAAAGUAGAAUAAGAAGAGUGCACAUUCUUAGCCAACAAAGAAGAUAGACGAUCAUUGAGCACAAACAAUAAUAUGGAAAUUGCUAGUGCCAAAAAAAUGGUGCACAUACGUUGUCAUUCAAUUGAAAAUAAUCAAGAAAAUUUAGAUACUAUUACAUAUGAAAGUUUUGAAGAUUAUGAUCAGGAAGGAGUGUAUAAUGUUAAAAAGAAUACACCAGUGGAAUUAAAUGAACAGCAUAUAUAAUAUUACUGAUGGAACUCAAACAAUGACAAGUAUCACUGAUAGCAUUUCUAUUAAAGAAGAUGUUGCAUUAGCAACGAAGAAGAUAUAGUUUGUCAGUUUUAAAAUAAUACGAUUUAUAUACUGCAGUUCCCAUAUAUAUUUUUAUUAAGAUUUAGGUUUAAUUUAAUUUCAAUUGGUGAUCAACCACAUUAUGAACGAAGUUCUACCAGAUUUUUCUCCAGAUGUCGGAGUAGGUUUCUUUGAUUAUAGAUUUUUUUUGGAUUCUUUAAAUAUAGGAUGAUAUUUAAAAAGGAUUUUUUUUUAUCACGUAGGGAAAUUUGUUGAAUCUUUGAAUCUUAGAUUAUCUGAAUAUCAUUAUGGAUGUUGUGGAGCCUUAUUUCAGUAUGAAGAGAGUGUAUAGAAAUCUCAAAAUACAUCUAGGCCAAUAUUUAGCCUAUGUUGUUCUGAGAGAAGAGUGGAUUUGCCAUUGUUGAAAGAGACUCCAGCUUUUUUGGAUACUUUGUUAACAAGUGGAGGAAGAAGAGCUCCAAAACCUUAGAAGAAUUUUAGAGUAUAUAACUCAAUAUUUGCAUUUAUAUCAACUGAUGCUAAGAUUGAUAAUGAAAUUAGUAAUAAAUCAGGACGAUACAUUUUUCAAAUCAGUGAUCAAAAUAGUCAUAGAAUGGGUUCGUUAUUAUCCAUUGAUAGACAGAAGCCUAAAUUUGUAUAAUUAUAUAUAUAUGAUACCCAACAUGAAGUGGAUAAUAGAAUGAGAGUAUUUUGAAUGAUGAUUAUAAAAUAUAGGUUGAGAAAUUAUAGAGGAAUUAAUUAAGUUGUUUGAUAUUGAAAAUCAAAUUGUUGAAGUUUUCAGAACGAAUAGAGACCGUUUUAGAGAAUCUAAUUUUCUAUCGGUGCGAUUAAAACUAUUGAGAAAGCUUCAAGAGGAUAUUUUAUAAUAUAAUGAUCCAAUGACUUCUAAAAUAGCAGGAUUGAUUAUUAGUGAUCUUGAUCAGGUGGAUCAUGAACGCGAUAUUAUUGUUAAACAUAAAACUGAAGGUCUAAAAUACAUCAGUGAUUUGCAUCCAAGUUUUAUGGCUAUGUAGUAUCUAAUUUUAUUUAUGUAGAGUGAAGAUGGUUUCACAAUUGAUAUCAAAUAUAAAAAGCUUUUGCAUAGUCAUUAUGUUACCAGACAGUAUGUUAUUAUGAGAAAAUUCUGUGUUUAUAGAAUACAAUAAAGACCCAAUGAAGAAAAAGUAUUAAUAAGAGGUGAAAGAUUAUUUCAACAAUAUGUGGUUGAUGCCUUUGCAUACAUUGAAGAAGAAAGGGUGGAUUAUAUCAGAAAGAAUCAGAAAGAUCUUCAAUUAAAAAUUUAUUAGGGUAUCAAGGAUAUAGUGGUACAAGAUGAUGUCGAUGGAAAUAUAAUUGAAAAGAGAAUUAUUUUACCAUCAAGCUUUACUGGAAGUCUAUGCAUGAUCCAAAAUUAUCAAAAUGUCAUUGCUAUUUGUAGAUGGCAUAAACAUCUAGAUUUAUUUAUUAUUUUUAUUUGUAAUAUACAAUGGUUGAAAAUUCAGGCAGCUUUAAACUUAAUCCUUAGUCAAAGAGUGAAGAUAAACUUAAUAUCAUCAACAGAUUUUUUUAAAAUGAAACUUAAAGAAUUAAUUUUGGAUGUUAUUAAAAAGCAUCAUUUCAGAAAAAUAAUUAGAGGGUAAAAUACUAUUUCUUAGCAAUACAUUUCGGUAUACGGUAACUGAUAAAUUUUGACUUAUAUUCUGAUAUAGCUAUUUUUUAUGAUAUUCAUAGUUUUAUAUAUAGUAGAGUUUCAAAAGUGUGGCUUGCCAUAUGUACACAUUUUGAUUUGACUGGAUCCAGAAUAUAAAUAUCUAAUAGUAAUGGAUAUAGAUUUUUUAAUUUAUGCAAGGUUGUCAGAUAAAAAAUAUUAAGCCAAUAGGACAUGAAAUUAUUGCGAAAUUUAUAAUGCAUGGUCCAUGGAAAUGGGCAAGAGAUACUUUUUUGGAGAGAACCGAAAAUGUGAACCUCCUCUUCAAUUCUUAUUCGUGACACUUUUUCUUUGCUAUAAGAAAAAGAAUGGCCAUGGGAACACGGUUCUACAACCACAAAAUCGGUAGGUGGAAAUUUCAUUUGCAUCUUUUUACUGAGCCUCAAAUUAGGACUAAACUUAAGCACUUGCUUAUACUUCUAAAUAACGUCAACCUAAACUUUGUAUGGCUAAGGUCAGCGGCAGGUUUUCUUCCUCCUCAAUGUAUCAACUCCGAAAUUCUUUGGGAAUUAAGUGCAAAUUUCCUGCAUCUCUAUGGACUCUCAGCAUCCCACUGAAGAUUAUUUUUUUUCUUGUAGUUAGCGUAGAAAAACAAACUCUAACACAAAAGAGUACCUGAGAAAAAAUCAGAAGAUUUUUGGGUGGUUGUGCAAUGUGUAAUCAAGUUCCAACGUCAUUAGAUCAUCUCUUUUCCACAUGCGGUUGCUUCUCCGAUAUUUGAAAGGUUAUCUACUUUGCCUUUGGUGUACUUCACCCACAAUCUUCAUUAAAAUUCUCUGCUUGGAUUGGAUCAAAAGGAGUUUCCUAAAAAAAGAAGAAUCAGUGGUUUUAAUGUUGCUUGUAGCAGUGGCCUGGGUCUAUUGGAAGGAGCGCAAUGCAAGACUAUUUCUCCCAAAAAAAACUCAUAUGUAAGCUCUGUUGCCACUGAAGCACCGAAUCGCUUUAAAGAUUAGUCUUUCUUUGCAAGAUGUUAGAGCUAGCUAUCAGAGUUUGGAAAGAUGUGGAUAAGGAUUCUAUUGCUGAAAGGCUCCGGAGGAAGAACAACGAGGUCGGUCAAGAACUGAAUUAGAAUAUUAAAGAGGAUCAAGUUGACAAAGUUCAUAGGUGAUCCUGCAAAAGAAGUUCUAAAACCAAUGGGGUACCUUCCAAUUUAAGAUCCUUCGAUGCUUAAGUCAGCCGAAACCAUAAGAAUAGAUGAUGAAAAAAUGGAAAAUAGAAAGGAUGGAAAGUAGAGAGGGAGUAGAAUGGAGUAGGAAGAACUUAGAUUUUCUUCAGUGGGGGAGAGAGUUCAGUAGAGUUUUGGCUCUAUGAGUCCUGACUUACCUUUGAAAGAGCCCUUACUGCGCUUUAUAUAGGGAAGGUUACUUAGCUGUUAAGUCAUGGAGAGAGUUUGUUAGACCAUGAGUAACUGCUUGAUUUAGAAGAUCUAUUUGGUAGGCCAUUAGUUCGUUAUAACAAAAUGACCAACUGUAAGGAGAUCGUGGAUUGUCAUUUAUCUAUGUGGAGUAUAGCUGUAACAUAGCUGUAGCACAACUAUAAUAUAGCUGGAAGAUAACAACUUGAAGCUUUAUUGGCUUUAAAAGUGAGAUCAGCUAAGUCUGAUGAGAUCAGUCAAAUUCGAUGUCCCCUUGCAAGGAAGCGAGUAACACAUUGAUAGGUCGGUAAUAACCUGAUUUGGCUUAAAGCAGUUCUAAUGAAUCUUCGGAUCAAUUGAUGUGAUAUGGUGCUGUUUCACCUGUAUAUCGGUAAUUCAUCGAUCUCAACUGAUGCUACCAUUUGGCCAGAGGUCGAUCAAAUGCACCAACACAUUGCCCUCACUUUUUAGAUCCGAAGUGACAUUUCUCACAUCAGGUGUGGAAAGUAGAACAAGAGAUAUUUUCUGACCUCUGGUGCUAGCAAUAAAUACGCCGCAUGGUGAUUUUGACCGUAUUAAUUAUUUAAUGAUACGAAGCAAUUGCCGCUUUUCGAAAUGACUCUUCAAAACCCUCAGCAAUUAUGAAGGCUCGAAAAAUUGGGAAAUCAUUUUUACCUGAAAGGUAACACCGAAAAUAAUUAAAAUUUUCUCUACUAUUUGUCAACAUAUUAUUGGUUGCCGUAAUCAUCAUGCAGAUUAGUCCUACAUGGCUUAAUCUAGGAGAGGUAUGCUGAACUGUUUUUCCUCAAAAAUGUUGGAUUGUUGACAAAUGUCAUUGAUUUGAAGAUAGGCAAGAUUGAUCCGAGCUAUUGGCGAUCUCUAUAAAUAGAACGGCUUUCAUUCUGAUAAUCACUUUUUUAUUUUGUUACACAGAAGCACUGCUGAAAUUUUUUAGAGAGCCCUUUCACCCUUGUGACCAUCAAUACCACGGAAGCCGGAAAAGACAAUCUCCAAAGCAGGAAGAGAAAGCCUUCAAUACUAACAAAUCCAAAAGAAAGAGUCCUUAUUCCCACCCUUUUGGUAGCUUUCCAGUCACUUUCCUUUUCAUCACACUUCUUAAGAUUUUAGAUUUUCUGUCUAUAUUUAUCCUCUUUCUCAUUUUUUUCUCCUCUUUUGGCUCAUUUUCCCUUCCUCAAUUCAUUUUCUUCUUCUUUUUUCAAAAAAAUAUCUUUUGAUGGGGGUGAGAUAGGUAAAAGAAGAGUCGGAAUGAUCAGAUACCUUGAUCGAUCCAGCCCCAAAUCAAGCUUGAAGUAGAAAUUCCACCUCUAGCAACCACCGAGAUAGGCAUAUCAGGUCAGGAUAAUCAGGAAUCUCCUAUUAGUGGAUUUUAGAUUACUUUGGUCCUGGUACCGAAGAGUCUAUUAUUAUAAAAUCUAACCUUCAAAAUCUUAGGGACCAAUAUCAAAUUCCCGAAGAGUCCCAACUUAUAGUUCUAAAUCGAGAUGGACGAGGGACUGAACCUCUAGAACAAAGUGUUGCAUUUUUCGAUGAGGCACUCCAAUCUAGAAUUUGAUUUUCUCUUCAUCCUUCAUUAGCAAUGUAUUAGAUUUUUAUAGAGUCCAUCCAACUCCAAUGACUCCAAACGCCAUUAGGAUGAUAAUAAUAUUCAUAAUCCUCUAUAAAUUCACCCAUAUAGAACAUAAAAUUUUUUUCUUCAGGGCACUGUUCGUCUUGAAGAAACAUCCAUAUGAGAAAGACUAAUGGUACUUUUCACUUCGGCCAAAAUAUAAAUUCAGCCCAUCUCUUCCUUCAUCCAUUCAUGGUUGGAAAAGCUGUUUCUUCUAACAUAUCUUGGGUUUCAAUUAUAACUGGGGUAGACCUAAGCUCAAGUGAAUUUCCAAUAGCGAAGUCCUUCCAGCGGAUGAGGAGAUUUUUAUGGAGUUUGUUGGGUAUAAAGAUACCCAAAUUUAAUUAACUGGUAAACAAUCAAUCCCUAUACGACUCAGACGUUAGCCAAUUCUCUCCUCUGGAUAAGUCCGAUGUCAUAUUCUUCUUUUUUCUUUCUUUCUCCUUUCUUUUGUUUAACAGAGUUUUUUCCUCGUUAUAGAAAUGAUGAGGUUCGAUACGAAGAGAUUGGUUGAUAGGAAGAAAAGACAGCAGGAUCCAAAUGAUGAACCUACUACAAAGAAGAGUAGGAGCAUUGAAGGUACAAAAUUGACUCCUCUGACCAUCCGAACCUCUUCAACACCUUCUUCAACAACAUCAUCUCCUCCUGUUACUAUUGCCGAGCCAAUGUCAAGAACUCCACAUCAGCAAAACACUAAAGUGACCUAUCCACUUGCUAAGGAGGCCACUCACCUAAGACCAAGCCCUUCUCCUGUGCCUCCAACAUCGGUGAGACCAGCUCGAUCAUCGAAGAAACGACAAAGGCUUCAAGAGUCUAUUGUUCCUUCCACUUCAAUUGAGAGAAUCGAUAUCUUUCAGAUGUCUCUAUGUGAAACACCACAGCUUGGUCAAGAUAUUCUUUGUGUAGUCAUGCCCAAAAGGGAUGUGGAAGCACGGCAGUAGGACUACUCAAAAGAUGAGCUACUGAAUCAUGGCUACAUUGGCCUUCUGGAUGUAAGUUUUUUUUUUUUAACAUUGGUUUCCUCCAUUCUCAUAUUGUUUCUUUCCUUUUUUUUUAGGUGGCCAUAGAUUUCAAAUUGCUUCAAGAUCAGUUGUUUUGGUUUAAUGAGAAUAAGAAGUCCUUAAAGAAGGGACUCAAGGUUGAACGAGAAGGUAAAUAGGCAGUUGAGGAAAAGGCAUCUAAGGAGGCUAAAACUAUUGAGGGUCUGAAAAAGCAGCUUUAGAAAAAAAUGACCUCGUUGAAGGAGAAGAAUCAAGGUUUAUUGGACCUGUAGCACAAAGUCAAUGACUAUGAGAAGAAACUUGACGAGCUUCACCAGGAGGUGAAGAAGAUUCCCCAGCUAGAAUAUAGACCGAAGGAGGCUGAGAAGGCUACUAAGACCCAUGAAAAAGAGUAUUGAAAUACUUCAACGGCAAGUCGACAGGGAGAAGAAAAAAACUACAAAAGCUGUUGAAGAAUAUAAAGCUUCUGAAGUGUAUUAAGAAGUCAGUGAAUCUUUUAAAGGAGCAUUGGACUUCGGGUUUAAAAUUUGCAAGGAUCUGAUCAGGAAGCUCUUUUCUGACCUUGGUAUUAGCAAACUUACUAUUGAAGCAACCUUCAAUGCAUCAGUCAAAAUGAUUUCUGAACCUACUCCCAAAAUAGCUCAGCCUACAGUUGAAGUUACUAUUGCUGAAACAGCUUCUUAGCCUACUUUCGAAAUAGUUCCUCAACCACCAACUGAAGUAGCCCCCCAAGCAACUGCCAAGAUCCCAACCAUUGAAGUCAUAUCAAUCAAGUCUCUUUUGAUUGAAGCCUCCAAAGACCCAGCUCCUCCAUCCAAUGGUCCUUAGGCUAAUGCCUGAAUUUAUCUAUAUUUUCCUUUCUCUUUUGUAUCAGCCCGAUGUGGGCUUUGCAAAUAUACUUUACAUUAAUGAAAAAAAACUUUUUUCAAGCAUGUUCUUUAUCUUCUCUUUUCUUCUUUGAUAUCGGUCUAUCCGACUUCAUGUAACCUGAUUUGGGUUUAACUGUCCUAUAUUGGACUUGAAAAUUAUUCAUAAAGAUAUCAUUUGACCUUGGUUGGGUCAAACAUAAGGCUAAUGUACUCAUAAUGAAAAGUGAAUGUCAAAACAUUAAAAUAAUCUGAUUUUAAGAAUUAGAUCAGUUAAUUAAGAACAAAUUAAUAUUAAUGAAUCAAAUGUAUAUGAUAGAGAUUUUAAGAAGUACCUCUAUUUGAGGUCAACAUGGGUAGAUUAGAUCUCCCAUGUAUCAGAUGAGUUUCUCCUUAUGAUGUCUCAUCUUCUUCUCUUUUAAGGGCAUAUCGUUUGAGAACUUAAGCUAAAACUUGUCAAGUUGAUACUUUAUGAGGUUCAACCUGUAGAUCAAGUAUUUCAUAUUAAAGAUUUAUGAGGUCCAAUCUAGAGAUCGGAUGUCUCACAUUGAAUAUUCGUGAGGUCUAAUCCAGAGAUUAGGUAUCCAACAUCAUGAGGUCCAAUCCGAAGAUCGAGUAUCUUACAUUGAGUUGUCCUAAUUUGGUUGGAAUAUUCAUAGUUGGAGCAUGAUUUUUUUCGACCUCAUUUGGAGAAAUUUUUUUGUCCUCAUUUGGCCGAACUUCAUGACCCCAUUUGGACAAGUUGUCAUCAUUUUGUUCUUGUUUGAUCGGACAUCAUGACCUUGUUUGGAUGAAAUUCUCUGUACUAUUUUCAUUUAGUCAGACAGCAUGAUAUUGUUUGGAUAGACUUCUUUUGUACCAUCCUUAUUUGAUCAGUUGUCAUCAAUCUCGUUUGGAUGGAUAUAUUAUAUUGUUCUCAUUUGAUUGGUUUUUACUGAUCUUGUUUGGACAAAAUUUUUCAUAUCAUCUUUGUUUGAUCAAUUUUCAUCGAUCUUGUUUGGACAAAAUCUUUCAUAUCAUUCUUGUUUGGAUGAAGGAUUAUUCUUCAGGAUGCUCCGACUUGAUUAUAAGAAUUCAGCCUCAUUUAGAUAAAGACUAAAGGCUUCAUUAAAGACUCAUUGAUAAUGCAUUCUAACAUUUUCAGCAUUCUAAAUGCAUGGGAUAGUUGAACCAUCUAAAUGCUCAAUUAUGUAUGCUCCCGGAUGGAUUACUUUAGUAAUUCAGUAGGGUCCUUUCCAAUUGAGAGCAAAGAGCAACCUUCUCUUAUUCUGUAGGCUUUGAUACCUUAGUUUAAUGGAGAACAAUGAAAAAAUUUUGGUUUUAUCCGAGUAUUGUAAUAGCUAACCAUCCUUUAUUUAUAAGUUGCCAUAUGAAUCUGAGCUCUUUCUCUAAUUUUUUCAAAUAAAUCUAAAUCGGUCCUCAGCCAAUCUGGGUUACUUUCUUCAUGAAAAUUCUCUACUCUAAUUGAUGGUAAGCCAAUCUCAACAUAAAUUAUAGCUUCUGCUCCAAAAGUGAGCUUGAAAGGGAUUUCUCCUGUUGGCUCCCAUGGUAUGGCUCUGUGAGCCCAAAAAAUAUUAUAGAGUUCAUCUGUCCAAAGUUCUUUUGCUUCAAUAAGCUUUAUUUUCAAAUCUUGAAGAAUGAUCCGAUUAGUGACUUCGACUUCUCUAUUUGACUAUGGAUAUCCUAUUGAGGUAAGCCUAUGGUUUAUAUGGAGCUCGAAAUACAAUUCUUUGAACUUUGGAUUGACAAAUUGUAAUCUGUUAUCAAUGAUAAUGAAUCGAGGUAGAUUAAAGUGGUAAAUAAUUGACUUCCAGAUAAAGUCUCGCAUCUUCUUUUCAGUGAUGUGUGCCAAAGGCUCUACUUCCAUUCAUUUGGUGAAAUAAUCAAUGGCUACCAAUAAGAAUUUUCUCUAUCCUAUUGCCAUUUGAAAAGAUCCAAGAAUAUCUAUUUCCCAUAUAGCAAAAGGCUAAGGUGCGAUAAUGGGAAUAAGUUCAACAACAUCUUAUUGGUAUAACUCUGGCAUUGAUCACAUUUAUUAACAAAAUCAUCUACAUCUUUUUGAAUUGUUGGCCAAUGAUAGCCUUGUCGGAUGAUUGUAUAUGUGAUCAAUGCUUAAAUAUGACAUAAGAAGUAUUAAAAUCUAUGAUAUUUAUUUUUUAUUAUUUUAUAUUUAAUAUUUAUUAUAUUUUUUUUAAAAAUUAUUAGUCAUGAAGAUUUAAUCACACCAAACCCAAGAUAGAGCCGAAAAGCCCAAAAUUAACACAUGGCUUACAGAGGAAAGUAGGAACCAAAAACACAACACGACAUGAGGACUGAGCUUAAAGCCCAAGUUAAAGCCCAACUGCACAGCCUACAGAAGCAAUGGAGCAUGGCUCGUGGGGGUAGUCACCGCGGUCCAUGUGUGGUUCACCAGAAAAAAACCCAUGCGGUCCACAUGCGGCUCAUGGGAACAAAGUGCGGUCUACGCACGGUGUAAGGACCAAGGAGUGCUCGAUCCAUGCAUGGUGCACCAGAAUAGUAAAAGUCAAUUUUUGUUGUGGUGCAUGGGCGAGUUCAAGCUGGUGCGGGUUCGUGGGUUUUCGCGAGUGUUCGAGUGCGAUCGCAAGCGGGUGUGGGUCUUCAUGCAAGUGCGAUGCUGGUUGGUAGGCGAGCGGGUUUCAUGUAUGUGGCCUGGUGCAUGGGUCCGAGUGAGCCUGAGGUGCGAGUGUGUGAGUGUAGGUGCGUAGGUGGUCAAUUUGAAAGCGGGUCUGGGGUCAGAUGGGUUCAUGUGGAUGCGGAGCAGGUGCCUGAGACUUGAUUCUCACCUGAGAUGCUAACAGAUACAGAGAGAGGAAAGGCUAGGGUUUUGGAUAUCCUGAUUAAAAUAGGAAAAAGAAAGAAAGAGAAAGAGGCAAAAGUUUAGGAGAUUUGGGACAGCUAGGAGGCCUUGAAGGCUAUAAAAAGAGGUGCGGGGGUAUCUGAGAAGAAGAAGAGAAAAAGAGAGCAAAAAUUGAGAGAAAAUUGGAGAGACAAAGAGAGAGGAAGAAAGGGAGGUUGCGAGGUAUUGGAGUUUUGGAAGAGAGUUUUGGAGGCAUAAGGAGGUUCUGUUCCUGGAUCUUCUUCAAGUUCUUCUUCAACCUUCAAAAAAGAUGGAGCCUUUGGCACCGAGCGAGAUCCAAUUCAUGAGUAGCUAAAUCCUUCCUCCUCAGGGGAGUAAAUGAAGUCCUGAAAUCUAGAUUUAUAUUUUAUUUCUUAUUCUUAUUGUGUAUUUUCUUUUAUUAUGCAAUCAACUAUUUGAAUGUUGUAAGGUUGCUUUAUUUUUGAACAAUAUUAAAUAUUUUACAAACAUGAAUAUUUUUUAUGAUUUUAUUCAUGUAUUCAAAUAGUAUUUUUUUUUAUUUUAUAAUACUUGAUCUCGAAUAGUUUAUGACUAUGUAGAGACGAGUCGUGAUCCAAGGAUAUGAUUCAUACUCAACGAGAUAAGUUAUGUUAAGAGUAAGAUCAUAAUUUCAUCUUUUUAUUAUCACGAUAGCUUGUAGUUUGUAGUGAUUUGGAUUACUUUGAUUAGAAUACUGAUCUAUGAUUAAAUGAUGGAUUCAAAAAUCUAAGGCACUUCUUCUAUUUGAUUUUUCUUAACUUUAUUUUUGUCAAACUUGUUUCUUUUAUUCCUCUUAAAAAUCCUAAAAUCAAAAUUCUUCACCAUAUUUAUUUUAAUUGAAUACAACUCAGCCCUUUGAGAUCUGAGGAUUUGACGUCUGAUCUCAUCCUAUUCUAUAUAAUAGUUGAAUUAGAUUAAAUUAUUUUUUUUGAUGCUUGUGACAGCAAUUAGUAUGCCAGUGACCUACCUCUCAAGUGAUUAGCACAUAUUCCUUCAUGGACUUCUCGAAGAGCAUAGUCAGCUUUUGAUGGCUGUAAAUAUCAAAGUGAAGGAAACGAAUAUGACCUCUUAUAUAAUUGAUCUCCCGAUAAAAUAUAUGAUGGAGCUGGUCUCUUAAUUCUUCUUGCUUUAAUAGGAUCUAUCGGUAGAAUUCCUUUGGUAAUAUAAUCAAUCAAUGGAUCAAUCUAGCUAGACUCAUGGCUAAUCUAUGUAAUUAGAAGAACUUCGAUGCUGGAUGUUUUGAGAUAGUCAAUAAGAACCUUUUAGUUGAGUUUGGAGAAACCCAAUGUGGCAAGAUAUGAUAAAGCAUCAACUCGAGCAUUCUCUAAUCUAGAAAUUUGUAUAACUUGCAAGAAUUCGAAGCCUUUUAAUAACUCUUUUAUAUUCUAUAGAUAUUGAGAUAUUAUAAAAUAUGUAGCUUCAAAUUGAUCUCGUACCUAUCCGAUGAUAAAUUAAGAAUCUGUGAAGACUUUGAGCUUUCUAAUUUUAAGUUCUUUCGCCAUUUUAAGUCCAGCAGUCAGUCAUACUCUGCACCAUUGUUUAAGAUAUUGAAAUUGAAUCUCUAGGCAUAUUCAGUGACAACACCUUCAAAACUACCUAAAAUCAAACUAGAUCUACUUUCUUUGAAAUUUGAUGCUCCAUUGGCAUGUAAUAUCCAAUUAAAAUCUUUAAUGAUCUCUUUUGAAUUUUUUGAGAUCAGCUCUUCAUCAGGAAUUUCAUAAUGAAAUCAGAUAAUAUUUGAGCUUCUAGUGAAGGUUGAGCUCAGUAAUAGAUGUUGAACUCACUAAGUUCAAUAGUCCAUUUGGCUAUCCGACCUGAGGUAUCAAGUCAUUAUAGAACUGAUUUUAGAGGUUGAUCAGUCAAGAUGACAACUAAAUGAACUUAAAAAUAAGGCUCAAAUCAUCGGACCGAUGUAAUAAGAGCAUAGAUCAUUUCCUCUGCUUUGGUAUAUCGAGUUUUAGCAUCUCGCAGUAAUUUACUAAUAUAAUAGAUCAGUCUUUAUAUUUCUGUAUCAUCUUGAACUAACAACAUUAGGUAAAAUAGAUAAAUACAUAUAUAAUUUCUCACUUUCAAAUGAUUUUACUAUAAAAAAAUUGAUUAUUAGUGAUGGCUAAUUGUUGUCGCUAAUAGUCAAUUUGCCAUCGCUAAUAGCAUUAGCGAUGGAACACCGUCGCUAUAAGUCUGAUAAAAAUAACCUCAUCGCUAAUUACCAUUAUUAGCGAUAGCAAACUCAUCAUUGCUAAUAACGAUAAUUAGUAACAAAAAUUAUCGCUAAUAAUUUUUAUUUUUUUAAUUAAAGUGUCAAAAAAUAAUUAGCGACGGUCUUUAUCAUCGCUACUGCUGUCGCUAAAUAUUUUUUAAUUUUUUCAUAAAAAUUUUAAAAAAUAAUUAGCAAUGAUAAACAGCUAAUAGUUUUUAUUUUUUUAAAAAAAAUUAUAUUUGAAUAUUUUAAAACCUAUUUUAAUCACAUUCACAAGUAAUAAUAUUUUCUAAAAUCCAUUAUAAAUAAAAUAAUAAUUAUUUACCAUAAUCAUAAAUAUAAAAUUAAUUAUAUUAUAUAAAAAUAUAAAUUAUAUAAUUUUAUAAAUUUAUACUAUUUUAUAAGUAUCAAAAUAAUAUAUAUAUAAAGAAAAUUAUGUAAGAUCCUUCUCAUCGUUCUCCUCAUCCUCCUCUUGCUUUUGUACAUCCUCUCCAGCAGUUGAUGGAUGAAAGCUGAAUAUCUCAGCAUCUUAUAAUAAAAAAAAUAAAAUAUUAUUAAUAAAUUUUAAUAUAAAAAUAUAUCUAUCAAUAUGGAGGCAUAUAUUUUGAUAUACUACUUCGAUUCUCGAACAGAUUAUUUUUAUACAUUUCAUUCGAUGAUACGAAAUUAUAAAUACUCUCGGCCCAUGGAUUGGAUGGUUAGAUUGAAUUUUUACCUUCUGCAUCUCUUUUUUGGACUCAAGUCUAAAUAUAUGAAGCUUCUAAAUAUAAAUAUUUAAAAUAAAUAAAAAAAAAUUAUUAAUAGAUUUACCUACUGUGAGAGUCAGACACUGCUCUGUGCGACUAUGGGGUCACUGGUGACCCCAUGUCAUCCGAANNNNNNNNNNNNNNNNNNNNCUAAAGUAUUAGAGUUUAUCAUGUUGAAGAUGAAUAAUUGCAAUGAUCUAUCCUCAUCAUGAUGAAAUUUUUAAAGAUUACCUGGGCCUAUUAGCCAAGGCUAUAGACUCAUUAAAUACAUCAGUGUAGCACACGUGUGGCCCAGAACAUCUAAUUCUGGCACCACCGGAUCAAAACCAGUUCGACGAUGGCCCGACCUCAAACCCAUGCCAUCGUCCUCCUCAUCUUCCUUCUGCUCUAUUACAUCCUCUCCAGCAGCUGGUGAAUGAGAGCCGAAUAUAGCAUUCUGUAAUAAAAAAAAUAAAAUAUUAUUAAUAAGUUUCGUUACAAAAGUAUAUAUAUAUCGAUAUGAAGGCAUAUAUUUUGAUAUACUACUUUGAUUCUUAAACAGAUUAUUUCUAUAUAUUUCAUUCGAUGAUACAGAGCUAUAGACACUUCUGAUCCAUCAAUUGGAUAGUUAGAUUGAACUUUUAUCCCUUAGAUUUUUUUUUCCAGACUUAAAACUAAAUAUGUGAAGCUUUUAAAUAUAAAUAUUUAAAAUAAAAAAAAAUUAUUAAUAGUCUUACCUACUCUAAGAGUCAGACGCUGCUCCGUGUGACUGUGGAGUCACUAAUGAUCCCAUAUCAUCCGAACCUGAGAGUAUCAAGACAUCAUAAAGAAUGUUAUAUUAGAUAAUAAAAGAUAAAAUAACAUAAAAAAGAAUAUUUAAAGUAUUAGAGCUUACCGUCACUACAACAGAAUAGGAUAUUAGCGAUGCAAAAUAUUCAUCACUAAUAAUCAAUUUUUAUCAAUAAUAGUUAUUAGCGAUGAAAUUAUCAUCGCUAAUAUUUAGUCGCAAAUAAUGACAUCAUUGAUAAUUCUUUAUGAUAAAAAAAUAUUUUUUAUCGUCAAUAAUCGAUAUUACUGAUCAAAAAUUUUCAUCGUUAAAUAUUUUUUUUUCAAAAAUUAAUUAUGAUAAAAAAUUUUAAUCAUAAAAAAAAUAAUUUGUGACGAACUAUUACAUUUUUAAUAAAAAAUAAUUAUUUAUGAUGAAUCACUUUCAUCGCUAUUAAUUUAAUUAAAAAUUUUUAUAAAAUUUAGAUUUAAUAAAAAUAUUAGCGACGUAAAUAUUUCAUUGCAAAUAUGAUAAUUUCUGACAUAAAGUUUCAUCUCUAAUAAAUUAUCAAUUAUUUAUGAUAAAAAUAUUUUCAUCACUAUUAAUUUAAUAUAAAAUUUUAAUAUUUUUAAAUUUACUAAAAAAAUUAUUUAAGAUCAAUUAUUUUCAUCGCUAAUAUAUUUUUUGGUGAUCAAUAUUUUGUCAAAAAUAAUUUCAUCGCUAAAAAUUGACACAUAAUUUUUUUAAAAUAAUUUAUGAAUAUAUAUUUUUAAUUUAUAUUUAUAAUAGUUUUUAUUUAUAAUCUAUAAAAUAAAAUAAAAAAUUCAUACAAUAAACUCAUAAAUAAAUUUUAUCAUUUUAUUAUAUUCAAUUAAAAUAAUAAGAAAACUGAAAUAAAAAUAAAAAACUACAUAAACAAGCUGUCAAGUGUCGGCAUCUGCAGAAGAAGAAUGGGUUGGAGAAGGGGAGCACUCGGAAGAGCUCGAAUCGACCUGCAGCUAUCUCAUCAGCUGCAUCAUCUGCUCCAUCUGCGCUAUCCACUCCAUCAUCUGGUUCUGGAGCAGCUGGUACUCAUCAACGCAUGUAGCCAACUCAUCAGCUCACUGCUCAGUCUGCUGUCGAUCCUCAGUAGCCUGUCUCUGCACCUUCGCCAGCCAAAUAUUGCAGGCAGCAUAGAUGUCAGCCCUAGACGAGUGUGAGAAUGAGGGAGCACUAAUCCCAUACCCUAGAUCCCUAACAUAACAGGGUCUUGUACCAAGUAUCUGAUCACAUAUCUUGUUAUCUGUGGAUGCGAUCGAGCCCUCAGGAGUAGGUUGGGAUUUGAUGCUUAUCAUAUGAUCCNNNNNNNNNNNNNNNNNNNNNNNNNNUCUUGGCUCCUCGUCAUCCACUCUCCUGACCGUCGCUGAUGGAUUCACUGGUAGAUAUCGAUCCUAUCAGGAAGCUCGCCACUCUUUGCAUCUCUCUAUAAUUUGAAAAUAAUUAAUUAAAAAAAAUUAAAUAAUUAAAAAGUUAAAACAUGCUAAUUAAAAAUUACUUACCAUCUGCUUCAUAUGACGAGGAAACGACCUCAAACCCCCACAAUGUGACAUAGUCUGUCUCAUCCGAUUCACGAUGUUCUGGACACAUCAUCUCCGUACAGUUAGCAGUCAAAUUAGUAGGUAACAAAUUGAAUUUAAAAAUAAAUAAUUUAAUCAUUAAACUCUAAACAAAAAUUUGGAUGCAUAACCUGAUAUGCCGAAUCCUCAUAAUGUCGACAUACGAGAGCUCAAUCAUCCAUAGUGAUGCUGUCAUAGGACCACUGCCGUGCUGCCUCCACCCCAUGAUCCUACAUCACAUGGUACCAAUGCUAAUGAAUGUGGUGGCGAUACUCCUUGAAACGCAAACAUAAAUGAGCGUCCAUAGCUCACCGCAUGCGAUCCUCCUCAAAAUCAAUAAUAUCAAAUACAUCCUGCCAAUAACAAAUAUUAGAAGAAUAUCGUGUUAAUUAAAUAUUCACAGUAUAAUUUAUUUUACCUAUAAUUAGGUGUAAAAAAAAAAUUUUUGAGCCCGUACAAUGUAAUGUCAAUCAGGCAUAGCUGUGGUAUAUGACGUCUAGCUCGGUCUGCCAUGGCUCACACCAUCUCCUAAUAGACUUGGUGUAGUCGGGUGGUAUCUCAAUACGGAGAUGCUAUCCCGGGUGCUCGUAUCUCCAAUAUUCUAGAACAAGAUUCUUCGAUGGAUCUUGCCCUCACCUUACCACUAGUAGAGACUGGUCUAAAAUAACAAUAAAUAAAUCAUUAGUAUGAUAGCUAUCUAAAUAAAAAAAAUUAAAUUUUAUUAUAUAAAAAAUAUAAUGAUACUACUCAGAUCUGCCCCACUCAGACUUGCGUCACUGAAACUUGUCAGUGCAGGACCCCCCGGCGACUCUGCUGGUGUGGCAGUGGAAAUGGGUGAAGGCACCUCAGCCUCAGGGGUAGGCUACGAACACGAACAUCGCCAUCUAUCUUCUGGUACCAUAUCUGCAAUUUUUGACAUAUAAAUGAAUAUAAUAUUGAACAAUAAUAGCAAAAAAUAAAUUAUAUUCUAAUGAAUAGAAUUAUAUCAUAUACCAUUAUUACAAAAAAAGAUUCAAUAAAGAAUAUAGAUCUACUCAUCAAUAUUCGUAUCUUUCUCGAUGUGUAGGUCCUCUUUGGAAUCACAAUAAUCGACUAAUGCAUCAUCUCCUAUAUCAUCGUCAUUUAUGAAUUGAUCGUUGCCCUCUGACUCAUUAAAAUUAAAUACAAAAUCAGCUUUAACUUCGUUGGAUGGCAGAUCAGCCCUAUUCAAAGGAGCUGUUAUAAGUUAUUCAUCAACAAGAAGCUUGGCUAAUGUUUGCUCUUCCUCUUGAAAAACUUUCUCUUCAUAUAAAUCUGAAUUUUCAUCUAUCUCUAGUUGGGUUGGUAUGUUAUAUACACCUCUAGGUGUUAUUUUUUACACGACAUGCCAAUUUCCUUGAUACUUUAGAUCUUUCAAACAUAUUACUUAUUUCACUUGAGUUGCUAAUAUAUAUGGCUCAUUCUGGUACCAUAUUCGUGCAAAGUUUACAUUGAUAAAGUAUGGAUCGAUAUGAAUAUCGAUCUUUUUAUUGCUAAUAUCCCACCAUUCACACUGAAACAAAAAUAUAGAAUUACUGGACCCAUACUUCAGUUCUAUGAUACUAUCAGUACACCAUAAUAUUCAAUAUCUUCUUCUCCUUCAUAUCCUAUGGUAGCAAUCCCACUAUUCUGGAUAUGUUAUUGCAUCUCAAGCUCUCUUGUGUGAAAUCUCAUUCCUCCAAUGAUACAGGAUGCGUAGUGGUUAAUCCUUCAAUCGGGACCAUAUGCUAAAUCAUAUAACUUAUCGGUAGCACCCACCUUGCACCACCCAGACUCGACCCCCACGACCCCUGCUCCUGCGAUGCCGCCAUCAUCACCAACCCCCCACGACCCCCGCUCCUGCGGUGCUACUGCCGUCAGCCACCCCAUGUGACCCACCCCCUAUGGCGCCGCUGCCCUCUCCAACCCCCCACAACCUGGAUCCCAACUCGAAUCCUGAUCAGAUCCCGAUCUUGGUCCUAACCUAGAUCAAGAUCUCGAUCCGGAUCCCAACCUCGAUUCAAUUUGGAUCAUGAUCCAAAUUUUAUUUUUAUUAAUCAAAUAAUAAAAUAUUUGAUUAAUAUUUUAUUUUUUUUCAUUUUUUUUCUUUUUUUCCCCUCAUUUCUCUCUUCCCUUCCUUCCUACCCGACCGACCUUCCUCCCUCCCCGUCGUGCAACCCCCUCCGCCCCUCGACCCCUCGGUCUCCGUGUCGCCCCCGACCGCCCACCCCCACCCUUGCAACCCCAUCCACCCCCCGACCCCUCUGUCGCUCCCGACCGCCCAACCCCACCCUUGCAACCCCCUCUGUCCCCUGACCCCCUCCCCGCCCCCAUGUUGCCUCCAACCACCCACCCUCACCCCUGCAACCCCCUCCACCCCCCGACCCCUUCCCCACCCCCUUGUCACCCCCAACUGCCCACCCCCACCUUUGCAACCCCCUCUGCCUCCCGAACCCUCGGCCCUCGUGUCACCCCCAGCCGCCCACCCCUACCCCCACAAUCCCCUCCGUCCCCCAAUGGCUCAAUUAACCAAAGAAAAAGGAUGGAAAGAACCCUUACCUCCGAUGGAUAGCAACGGUAGUGGCGGAGAAGCCCACGGCAAUGGUGGCGGACGGCAACGACGACGGUGAUGGUGGAGAUGUGGUCGCGACGGGAAGAGAAGGGGGGGAGACCUCAAAAAAGGGAGAGGGGAGAGGGAGAGCUCAGUCAGAGAGGGGAGAGGGGAGAGGGAGGAGGGAGGAAGAGGGUUUCGCGCGAAGAGACGUCGAGUUGAUAUCUAAUAAAUACAGAACUAUUAGCGAUAAAAAUUUUAUCACUAAUACAAUUAUUAGUGAUGAAAAAUAAUUUUCAUCAUCAACAAGUUCCGUCAAAUAAUUUCUCAUAAAAAAAAAUUUUUCUUCAAAAAAUUUUGCCCAAAAAAUUUAUAAAAUAAAUUAUUGACGAUGGAAAUAAAAAUUUUUAUUGUUACUAAGGCUAUUAGUGACAAAAAAUUACUUUCCAUCAUUAAUAAAUAUCAUUCAAAAAAAAAUUUCUCUAACAAUUUUUCCUUCAAACAAAUAAAAAAAUUUAGUUUUAAAAUGAUUUUACCGAUGAAAAUCCCUGUUUAUCGCUAAUAAAAUUUUUUUUCCAUUAACAAAUUCUUCAUUCACAAAAAUUGAUUAAAUUAAUAUUUUUAAAACAUGAUUAUUGAUAAAAAUAAAUUUACAUCAUAAAUAAUUUUUUUUAAAAAAUAAAAAAAAUUAAAGACUAUUUAUGAUGAAAAAUUUGAUUUACGUGACUAAUAAUUAAAAAAAAAAUUCUCUCAAAUUUUUUUUAGUGUACAAAAAAAUCUUCCCAAUAAUAAUUUCAACAAAAAUUAAUUUUGAAUUUUUUUCCACUAAAAAAAUUUUCCAUCCAAAAAAUUUAAUAAAAUAAAUGACAUUAAAAAAAUAUUCAUGAUGAAAAAUAAAAUUAAUUUUCUUUAAUCUAAAAAAUUUUUGACCUAAAAAAAUUUUUCAAAAUUAUUUCAUCAAAAAAAUUAAUUUUUUAUUAAUCAAAAAAAUUUUCAUAUAAAUAGUUAAUUUAUGAUUUUCUGUCAAAAAAAAAUUUCUCAAAAAAAAUUAUAUAAAAAAUUUAAUUAUGAUAAAAAAUUUAAUUUACAUUGCUAAUAAUUGCUAUAAGAAUAGCUCUUUGACUUUCGUAAUAGAAUGGAUAAUAUGGGAGAUCGAUAGCUUUGAGAUUUUCGAUCUUCAAGAAGCUCGUCUUCUUUUUGAAGUUCUCGUUCUGAAAGUCAGAGUACGAGAAUAUCGCGAUGAUUCUGACAUCGUGAGAGAAAUCUAUUAAGAUUGAGAUUUAGAAAAUAGGAUAGGGACAAAAAGUUAGAGGUCCACAAGCUCGUAUAUUGCGUACAUGUGAGGGUCGAGCUUAAGAAAUUCAAGCAGAAUUGUGUGAGCAUCAAAGAUCUAGCAGUUAACCAGAAUUAAAGUAGACUUACAGAUAGUACAAAUUGUGUUAUAAAGUAUAAGCUCAUAUUUAUGCUUUGCAUUGCUAGGAAGAUGAGUGCUGGUAUUGUUUGUCUUCUCAUGAUUGAAACUCUUAUAAAGAUAUAUUUGAGCAUCAAUCGAUACAGAAGGUAUGAUAUCUUUCGAGAUCAUAGAAGUCAUGCUAUAAUGUACUGCUUAACUAUAUAGUUUCUGCAGAAAAAGAAACGUCUUUCUUGCAGCUUAAGGCAGAUACUUCAUCAGAAAGAUUCAUUAAUAUCACUAGCAACAAUGACAGUAAUGAACAGAUAAAUUUUAUGUCGUAAAUAAAUAUAUAGUCCAUUUCAUUCAAAAGGAUCUAUUCAUUCAAAUCUGUGAAUAUCACCUACUUUCAUAUGAUUUUUUCAUACAAAAAGUUUGGACUGGAUUAUAACUUAUAUUUACUUCUUUACCAUGUAAAAGGAUAAAAGAUGUAUAUAGCUGCUACAAAAAAGAACAUUCAGUUGUCUUACAUAAAAUCAAAAUUUUAAAUUUUAUAAUUUUUUUUAAUUUUUAAUUUUUUAUAUAUUAAUGAUGGAAAUAUUUUUAUCAUAAAUAAUUAAGUAUUUAUGACAUAAAUCUACUUUUCGACGUAAACACUGAAUUAUUUAUGAUGAAAAAAUUUUAUCACAAAUAAUAAGCAACUUUUAAUUUUUUAAUUUUUAUUUUUAAAUAUUGAUGAUAAAAAUAUUUUUAUCAUAAAUAAUUAAGUAUUUAUGGUGUAAAUUUAUUUUUUAUCAUAAACACUUAAUUAUUUAUGAUAAAAAAAAAAUUCAUAAAUAAUAAGUAAUUUUUGAUUUUUUUUUAAAUUUUUGAUUUUUUUUAACUAUUGACGAUGAAAAUAUUUUCAUCGUAAAUAAUAAAGUAUUUAUGAUAAAAAAAAUUUUCAUCUCAAAUAUUUAAUUAUUUAUGAUAAAAUAUUUUCAUCAUAAAUAAUCUAUAAUUUUUUAAAUUUUUUAUUUUUUUAAAUAUUGAUGANNNNNNNNNNNNNNNNNNNNAAAAAUAUAUUCAUCACUAAUAUUUAAAAAUUUAAAAUUAAAAUAAAUAAGAUAUUAUUUAUGAUAAAAAUAUUCAUUAUAAAUAAUAUAUAUUUAUGAUGAAAAAAAAAAUUUCAUCAUUGAUACGCAACUAUUUGUAAUGAAAAAUUAUUUUCAUCAUAAAUAAUAAAUUAUUUAUGAUGAAUAUUUUUAUUAUCGUAAAUACUGUUAGUGAUGAUAAAAAUAUUUUUAUUAUAAAUAAUUCUAUCAUAAAAAUACUUUUUUCUUGUAGUGCGCAUUGAAACCAACAAUUGCAAUGAUCUAUCCCCAUCAUGAUGAAGUUUUUAAAUCUAUCCCCAUCAUGAUGAAGUUUUUAAAGAUUAUCCAGGCCUAUUGGCUAAGGCUAUAGACUCGUUGAAUACAUCAGUGUAGCAUGCGUGCGGCCCAGAAUAUCUAAUCUAGCAUCGUUGGACUAGAGCCGAUCCGACGGUGUCCCAAUCUCGAACCCCUACCAUCAUCCUCAUCAUCCUCCUUCUGCUCCGUUAUAUCCUCUCCAGCAGCUGGUGUAUGAGAGCCAGAUGUCCUAGCAUCUUGUAAUGAAAAAAAUAAAAUAUUAUUAAUAAGUUUCGUCAUUAAAGUAUAUAUAUCGAUACGAAGGCAUAUAUUUUGAUAUACUAUUUUGAUUCUUAAACAGAUUAUUUCUACAUAUUUCAUUCGAUGAUAUGGAGAUAUAGACACUCCUGACCCAUUGAUUGGAUGGUUAGGUUAAACUUUUAUACCCUAGAUCCCCUUUCUAGACUCAAGUUUAAACAUAUGAAGCUCUUAAAUAUAAAUAUUUAAAAAAUAAAAAAAAUUAUUAAUAGACUUACUUGCUCUGAGAGUCGGAUGCUGCUCUGUGUGACUGUGGGGUCACUGGUGACCCCACAUCGUCUGAACUUGAGAGUAUCAAGACAUCAUAAAGAAUAUUAGAUAAUUUAGAUGAUUAAAAAAGAAAAAAAAUCAGAUGAUUCAAGAAAAAUAGGUAAACUUUUUAGCACUAGAGAAAUUUCAGUUGGCAAAGCAGCUUGGUAUGGUAACAAAGAAUUUUUCUUCAAGGUCUAGAAGAUAGCAUUAAAGAGUUUUCAAGUCCCAAUUUGUCAAAAGUUAAAAGGAGAGAAAAUAAAGAAUGACGAAGGAGAGAGGGACACAAAGAAGGAGGAGAAAGAAAUUUAGAAGCCAACUUCGAGAAAAGAUAAAUUAGCUUUUAUGAAGUAAUUAAAUAGGUGAAAUCUAAGGUGCCCAGCAAAUUGCACAAAAGAAUAAAGGCAAACAAGUAAAUAAGCAGACUAAAUAAAAUAAAGCAAUCACAUUGCUCAGAGACUAAUAAUGAAGCCAAAAUCAUUCGCACAUAAAUCAAAAUUCAAAUACCUGUAUAAGGGAUUCCAUGAUCUGCCGAGUAGCAUCAAUGGAAAUUUGAUUUUGCACCCACUCAAGUGACCUUAAAUGCCGAUAGCUGUUGUUCAGGUAUGUAGUUUAGAAAUAUAGAAAGAAAAAACCAAAAAAGGAAAAUUAUACAAACUACUGGUACUACAGUAGAAUGGCAAGAAAAGGGAAGCAAACCAAGUACUUGUGAAGAAAUUUGAAGCAUCCUGCGGUCCCAACUUGCAAACCAAGAAUAUCAAUUGAACCCUCCCAUUGCUGUUAGGAGUGGAAAAUAUAAGUCAAAGUAGACAACAGCUACUCUUUAUAUGAUCAAUUACCACAUAUUAUUUAAAGAGUCUUCUGUAAAAUUCCUUCUAUUAAUUUGCAUGAAAGAUUGCAAAAGAGAAAAAUAAACCUUGAAACUGUCAUCAGAGAUUGAAUUUUUGGUACAUUCAAAGAGCUGUUGAGCAAUUCUACUGAGCUGAACUUCAUCGUGAGCUUGUUGACACCAGCAAACACCAGAACCUUAAGAUCAGGGUUUUCUGAAUAUUCUGGGCAUAUAAAUUAAACUCUUUUGCCACUAACAAUGCAUUUGAGGCAAUGUAUAACCAAUUUUUGGAAAUUUAACUUAACUACUACAUGACAGAUGUUUGGAAUGUUAGAGCAACCUUCAUAAUGCUUAAAUCGAUAUUUUUUCUAGUUCAUAAAAAUGACAAAUCUCGAGAUUUUAGUCAGAACACAAAAAAGAAUAUUCACGUACUAAAUAGCAUAUCCAACAUAAAUCAACUAAUAAUGACCGUCAAAUAUUGAUGGGCCAACACAUAAACUUCAUAAUUAAUAAAGUUGAGAGGAGUCAAUCUGGUUCCUUCUUUCAGUUCAACCAACUCUGAAAAAUAAAGAUAAUUCAAAAAAUACGAGCACGAAUUAAUAUAAGUAGGCACAGACAAUUCUAGAAUACAUAUUUUAAAACCAUGGUUAUACACAAGUACAAGCAUAUUCAUUUAUUAGAUAGGCAUAAAAGCAAACACCAAUACAGGGGUAUAUAUAUGUUGUUUUGGUCUACAACUUUACAUUAACACACUGAUGGAACAUUGGCAAUUUAGCAAAUUGUCAGAAAGAAUUCAUAGAGCACAUAGGUCUAGAUAUGAAUCAUAUAACUGUUUGGUGAGUUUCUACAAGCAUUGGCAUCAAAUUAUUUUGCUGAGAGUAGAAAGUUAAUAAAAAAAAACUAGAUAUAAACUAAAGAAUUAAGCCCAUGUACAGCACAUUAAUCAAAACUACAAAUUUACAAUACAAGCAUGUUUAGAUCUACCGAGUGAGGGGAGGGGUUGCGGCUCUCGGUGGCACUGCGGCAGCAGGCAAAGGAGUCGAUGGUGGCUAAUGGUGGUGAGUAACAAUGGCUGUCCGAGGGGAAGAGAGUGACGAUGAGGCGAUCAAUGGUGAGAUGAUCGGGAUGGAGAGGGGAUGUCGACGGUGCUGAGUGGUGGAAUGGUGGUGAUCCGCCAUAUGCAGCAUGCGGAUGAGCAUGAUGAGGCGGCGAGAUUGCUGGGCACAGCGAGGAGUGACUGGUGACCUUGAUGGGCACGGGCUGCAUGACAAGGCAGUGUGGCGAGGCAGCAUAGUGAGGCGACGACCGAUGAGGUUGAUGGGAAUGCCUGGGCAUUCAAAGGGGGGAGGCAGGGGCGACGGUCCGACGGCUCGAGGAGGCAGUCCGACGGCUCAAGGAGGCAGAUCGAGGGUUCGGGGAGGUGGCCAAUGGCUUGGAGAAGCCAGAUCUGAUGGUGGGGGAAAGAGGAGGAUUGGAGGUAGCCAGAGGGAGGCUGGGCAGGGCUCGUGGGGGCAACCGGGGCUCGAGGAGGUGGGAGGCAGGGGCUCAGGAUCCAAUGGAUGAGGGCUUGGAGAGAUGGUCAGGGGGAGGUAGGUCGGAGGCUCAGAAAGGUGAUCGGGGCUUGGAGAGGUGGGAGGCGGUCGAGGGACUCAAGAUUCGAUGGUCAGGGGCUCGAGGAAGUGGGAUUCGACAGUCGGUCGGCCACUGACGGGGAAAAAUGGGAUCCGAAGGCUCGGAGAGGAGGAAAUCGAGGGGAGGGGGGUCGGUUACCGGUGAGAAAAAAUGAGAGGGGGGUGGGAAAAAUGAGGGCACACAAUUAGAUAAAAACCAUGGAAAUUGAGGGACGGGAGAAAGAAAAUCUGGGGAAAAAAUUUAAGGUUAUUAGUGACGGCAAAAUGCCAUCGCUAAUAAAAUACCUCUGUCGCCAAUAAUCCUAGAAUCAAAUUAAAAAAAUAAAAUUAUUUUUUAUUUGCAACGCAACUAGCCAUCACUAAAAGCAAAAAAUAUCAUUGCUAAUAAUUUUUUUCUGCAACAGUAAAUUUGUUGGUUGUCAUUUGCCAUCAGUAAAAAAUGUUAUUAAUGAUGGCAAAAUUGUCGUCGCUAACAGCCAUCAGUAAAAGAAGUUUUUCUUGUAGUGUUUGGACAAUAAUGGAGGUGAGCCGAGGUACUUCUUAAGGUCAUUAAAAGUAGCUCGACAUUCUUCCAAUCAAUUAAAGUCUUUAACUUGCCUUAAUAUUUUAAAGAAAAAGAGACACUUCUCAAUCGAUCUAGAAAUAAAUUGACUGAGUGAUGCCAUCCAUCUGAUAAGUCGUUGUACCUUUUUUAUUAUACUUGGAUGCUUCAUUUCAAGUAAUACUCGGAUUUUCUUGAGAUUAGCUUCUAUUUCUCUUUGGGUCAUAAGAAAACCCAUGAAUAUUUUCAACAUUACUUCAAAAGUAUACUUGUUAGAGUUGAGUUUCAUUUGACACUUUCAAAGUCCCUUCAAUACUUCUUCUAGAUCGGCUAUAUGCCGAUCUGCUUCGGUGCUUUUUGCUAACAUAUCAUCAAUAUAAAUUUUCAUAUUAUAAUUGAUCUGCAGCUUGAAGACUUUGUUGAUCAGACACUAGUACGUAGCACCUAUAUUUUUAAGAUCAAAAGGCAUCAUUUUAUAACAAUAUAAACCACUUUCGGUAACAAAGAUCGUAUUUUCUUCAUCUUUUGGUGCCAUUCUAAUCUGAUUAUAGCCAAAAAAUAUAUCCAUAAAACUCAACAGUUUGUGUCCUGAAGUGGCAUCAACAAGCUGAUCUAUUCUGGAGAAAAAAAUUAUCUUUUGGGCAAGCUUUAUUAAAGUCAAUGUAAUUAAUACAAAUCUUCCACUUGCCAUUCGCUUUGUUAACUCUAACAAUAUUGGCUAUCCACUUCGGAUAUUGGGCUUCCCUUAUGAAUCUUGCUUUCAAAAGCUUAUCGACAUUUUCAUCUAUGACUUUUUGCCUCUUUGGAGCAAAACUCUUUUUCUUUUGUUGGACUGGUCAGUACUUCGAAUAGAUAUUCAAUCUAUAUACAAUAACAUCGAUAGAAGUUUCAGCCAUGUUUGAGGCCGACCAGACAAAGAUAUCGAUAUUUACUCAAAGAAAAGAUAUCAUUUGUUCUCUUAAAUCGGUCCUUAACUGAGAUCCGAUCUAGACAGUCUUCUUUGGAUCUUAACCUAGUGAAAUAGCAACAAGUUGUUUAGCUAGUUCAUCUUAAUUUUUAUCAAUCUCUGUGUCAUCUUUUUGAUCAGACACUUCAAUUGGUAAGGCUUACCAAUUUCUUCAUUUUGGCAACUAUCAAAAAAUAUUAUCUAGCAAGCAUUUGAUCUCUAUGCAAUUCUCUAACUCUAUUUCUUAUUAAAAAUCAAACUAACAGAUGAUAGGUAGAGACUACUGCCUUAAGUGUAUUGAGUCCAGAUUGGCCAAGAAUAGUAUUGUAAGCUGAUGGUAUCUUGACACCAGAAAGGUGAGCUGCAUAAUAGACUAUAUGGUUCCUAUCUUGCAGUUACGAACAAAUUUGUUUCUCCUUCAACAGCCACAGGAUCUCUAGAGAAUCUAACCAGUGGGGUGCCGAUCUGUUUCAACCGAUCUAAUAUAUUUAUUUUUUAGAAUGCAUUAUAAAAUAAUACAUCGACAGAGCUUCUAUUAUCUACUAAUAUCUUUUUACAUUAUAUUUUGCUAUUGUCAUAGAAACAAUAACAACAUCAUUGUGAAGAGUUUGGACUCCUUAAAUAUCAGUAUCAGAAAAAGAAAUAACAUUAUCAGUAUACAGCCUCUUUGAGGAAGGACUCUCAGCUGCCUCCUGAACUCCACCAAGAUUUAUGAUCAUAUUAAUGACUCCAAUAAUGGGCCGAUUGUGUUCAGCAUCACCGUCAGGCUUCUAGCAUUGUUCAGCAGCCUAGCCUGUCUGAUCUCGGACAUACUUGCUGACACAACCUCGAUAGAUCAGGACUUCAAUCUCGUCCUUAAACUAUCGGCAUUUUUCAGUGUCAUAGCCAUGGUUUCAGUAAAAGCAGUAGUACUUCCUUUUAUUUUUCUUUGCCGAUGGAGCCUUCAUAGGAUUAGGCUGAUAAAGAUAUCUUUGGUCCUCAAUUUCCAUCAGAAUCUGGGCACGAAGAGUAGAUAAAGAGGUACAAGUGUCAAAAUAUCGAGGUGAGCUUCUUAGCCUCGAAUUUUUUAGUGGUCGUCUAGCAUUGUUCUCUAGCUGAUCUCCAUGGUCCUCUUCUCUGGGCUAUUUUUUUCUAUCCCUCUCUUUCUUCAUUUGUCGAGUUAGACUUUCUUUUUCUUCAGCUUGAGUAUGUUUUCGGACCCGAAUUAGCAUUUAAUCAUAGGUGUCUGACAAAUUUUUGUUAAGGAAGAAGAUCAAACGAUUACUUAAGAGUCCUUACUUUAAGGUAGUCAUUACAAUGAACUCAUUGAAAUUUUGGACUUCAAGCAUGGCAGUGUUGAAGCGCGCCAUGUACUCAUGGAGGAACUCACCCUCCUGCUGCUUAAUAGAAAAAAAAACUUUGUAUUUUUUAGAUGAAAUCAGGUAUUACCGAAAUAAGUAACAAAUAGUCUGACUAACUUCUCAAAGAAAAAAAUAAAUCUUGAUUGGAGUCCAGAAAACUAUAUCCUUGCAGAUUUUUUGAGGGAAUGGGGAAAGCGAUGCAAAAUAGGACAUCAAAUGUCCCUUGUAGUCUCAUAACGGCUCCAUAUCCUUCAAGAUGAUCCAAGGGAUCAGUGGAACCAUCAAAUGAUUCUACCAUUGGUAUCUUGAACUGGGAAGGAAUAGGCUCAUUCAAAAUUUAUUAGGAUAAAGGGGAUCAUAGGUCAAAAUCUUGCUUAUCUUGAGAAUGAUUCCCAAGUUAUACUUCCAUCAGCCAUUUUUCAAGAUCUUAAAUCUUCAUUUCAAGACCUUCUCCCCAGUAUGAUUUUUCACUAUCAGGAAUAGAUUCUCCUUCAAAAGAUUGGUCAGUCUAAGUGGGGUGAUGAUCGGAUGGGGAUCUUAAUGGAUUGGCUGAUGACUGUAUUGGGACAAAACUUCUUGAGGAAUUACCUCUUGUUACUGUUCUGUGGUAUAUUGGAGUUGUUGUACGGCAGCAGUGAGAGCCUGUACUUAUUAAACUAAAAGGGUAGACUAUUGUAGAUUGACCAUGAUUGAAGGUUGAACAAUUUCUGGUCCGCCUCUUGGAGAAGAUGGUGAAGACAAAGAAUUAUUUUGUACUCUCCAAUUUACCAUUUUUCACAAAAUCUUUUGGGCAAGGCCCUUCCUCUAGUAUCAAUAUGUUGCUGCAAGGCUCCAGAGGAAGAAUAGUGAGGUCGGUCAAGAACUAAGCUAGAGUAUUGAAGAGGAUCAAGUUGACAAAGUCUGUAGGUGAUCCUGUAAAAGAAGCCAUAAAACCAGUGGAGUACCCUCCAUUUUAAAAUCCUUCGAUACUUAAAUUAGUCGGGGUCUUGAGAACAGACGAUGGAAAAAUGAAAAAUAAAAAGAAUAGAAAGUAGAGAAGAACUAGAAUGGAGUAGGAAGAACUCAGAUUUCCUUCAGUAGGGGGGAGAGUUCAGCAGAGUGUUGGCUCUGUAAAUUCUAACUUAUCUUUAUAGGGACUCUCGCUACUGUUUAUAUAAAGGCGGUUACUUAGCUUUAAGCCAUGGAGAGAGUUUAUUAGACCAUUAGCAACUAUUUGAUUUGGAGGAUCUAUUUGUUAAGCUAUUAGUUUGUUAUAACAGAAAGACUAGCUAUAGGAAGAUCGUGGGUUGUCAUUUAUUCACGUGAAGUAUAGCUGUAACAUAGCUGUAGCACAACUAUAAUAUAGCUGGAAGAUAACUAACUUGAAGGUUUAUUAGUUUUAAAAGUGAGAUCAACUAAGUUUGAUGAGAUCGAUCAAAUCUGAUGUCUCCUUAUUGGGAAUCGAAUAACAUAUCGGCAAGUCGAUAAUAAUCCAAUCUGACUUAAAGCAGUUCUAGUGAAUCUUUAGAUCAGCCGAUGUGAUAUGGUGAUGUUUCAUCUACAUGUCAGUAAUACACCAAUCUCAACUGUUGCCACCGCAUGGCCAUAGGUCAGUCAAGUGCACCAACAGAUUCGAACUGCUCAAAUUGAAUUUCCUUGAUCUCACUCAUCCACUCGGCAAACCUAUCUAUUAUUUAUUACAGACUCUAAGAGGAUGGCAUAGACUGGCAUGGCACAGAAGAUGCAUAUGGCAUGGCACCGGCAGAAUCUUCAUAUCUCACCUCCUCUGCUCGGCAAGGACAGAAAGCAACUUCUCCACCAUAAGUCUGGCAUGAGAGAAUAGGCCUGGUUGACAGAAUUGAGGUGUAUUCUCAGAUUCCUACCUUUCCUCACUGGUCUAAGGCUUUUCAGCUUCUCCUUCCUCUAAGCUGGUUUUUACUUGGUAGUUUGAGAUUUGGCUUCAGGCGAUGAGACUCUGGUUUCAUGCUUCUCUUUCACAUCGUCUGAAACAUCCGCGCAAGUCUUGGAGCUUAGGCACUGAUUGCUUUAAUGGAGGCAUCACGUGCUUCAAAAAAUCCAAAUGGGGGAUGUUGGAUUAGGAAAGGGUCGCCAUAUUUGAUGUUUGUUCAUUCUGGAUGAAUAUAGAGGACUGUAAAGAGGGAAGAGUUAGUGAGGAAGGAGGAGAAACUCAAUCACACUCAUGUUUGACCGCGAUCACUGGACCUGGAUCAUGCAGAAUAGCUUUAUAGUGUCCAAAAAUAUGAGUAAAGAAAAAAGAACGUGUCAACAUGCUCAGAAUCAAAUAUAUGAUCCAAAGAUGUACUUCUCAACGUUGUUUGGAACUCAGAGAAUUGCAGCAUUUACUUGUGAUAGAUAUAGGUUUUGCUUGCACUGUUCAGUGGAUCAGGACUAUCAAGAAGAUCAUAUGCUUACUGAGUUGUUACAUUUGUCUGCAACUCUGCAUCCUCCAACAUGUUGGGAAACACUACCAAGGGUUGUCCAAUGUCCGUUGUGCAUAAAAGAUUACAUCUACAUGCUUAAUGACGUGCAUCAUCCUCUUUCCCUGCAUUACAUUUUCUAUUUGUUCUAGUGCGAUUAGUUUGGAUUCUUCACAUGAUAAGCUUGGCACUGUACGUUUGAAGAUUCGUUCUUUGUAAUGUUGCCUUGGAUGUUAUAUUGUCACUUCAUUCUAUUUACCAACUCCGGAAGACAAGGCCGCCCACUUGAGGUUGGAUCUCAGGACUGAGAGAGCAUAUAUAUGAUACUUUCCAAUUCUUCUCCCUCUUGCUCCUCUUCUUUACAGUUGCUCCACAUCCAAGUAGUUUAAGGUUUCUUGUUAACAAUGUUUUUUCAGACAUCUUUCCUGCACAGCUGAUUUCAUUCCAUAGAACAAGUUCUCAAGCCUGCAACUAGUGGAUUGGUCAUAGGUGCUGGGACAUUGUUUGCUUGCUUGAAGCACUACCCAUCCCAACAUCACUACCAGUAACAACAUUGCUCUGAGCAUUACCAUAUUUAACUCAUAUCAUGCUUUCUUCUGGAAAAAAAAAAUGGACAGAAAGUCCUAGGCUGGAAAUUUCUUUAAUCUCUAGAUACCUGCCGUUGUUACUUUCAGCCAAAAUUUUAUGCGGCUUGUUGAACAAAAUGCUCGUUAGUAGAUACAAGAAUGGGGCUUUAGGGUUUCACUUAGGCCUGGGUGCUUUGAUUGUCGUGUCAGAAUUUUUGACUGUUAUCAUGUCGACGUACGAUCCCUAAACAUCAAGAUGGAGCGCCGGUGCCUGGUGAUGGCGGAUCAAAAUCGUGGAAGGGCGUCAGUGGCAAACACAAAGGGUAACAGAGUCGGAGAUGGUUGCUUUUGAGAACUAUUUUUCCAAUGUGCUUGUAUUGCUGGAGGAUGAGAUGGAGUUGGCCAGAAGCCAGUGGGAGACGAGAUCGGGUGAUCGCAAAAAGCUUGGGGCGUCGUCAUCUCCUGGACCUUAUCGUUAAAGAGUUCAAAAACGGAGGAAAGAUUGCUGAGAAUCAUUCUCUACAGCUGAAGGUCAUAUUAUCUUUUCCGUUUUCGGUCGGAGGCGGAUCGGGAUUCUGGGUUACAGAUGGGGCCAUGGGUGAUUUCGGAUGCCUGAAUUUAUUCUGGACAAAGACACCAUCAAAAGCAGCAUUAAUUUGGAUGACGUUGCCGCGGCGACCUAUCGAAUUUUGGAAUCGGAAAAUGGUGCUGAGGAUUGUUUCAUCUUCCCCUAUAUUCAUCGACUAUUUCACAGAUCGGAUUCAGAGGCUAGGGUAUGCUAGAUUGUGUGAAAGUUGAUAUCACCCAGUUGUUGAAACCGAGUAUAAAGAUUAAGGGGAAGAGACACUCGACGAACAAUACUCUGGAUAACAGAAUGUUAUAAAGAAAAAAAAUAUUAUUAAAAAAAAUUAUAAAAUUUUUAAAUGAUAAAAAUAUUUUUAUCAAACUUAUAAUAUUUGAUAGAAAAAUUAUAACAUCCUAUGCAAAAAAUUAUAAUUUCAAUAUAAAAUAUCAUAAUAUCGAUACAGAAUGUAAUAAUUUUUUUAUAAAAAAAAUAUUUUCAUCAUUUAAAAUUUUAAAUAAAAAAAUAAAAUUAUAGAUAUUAAUUGUACAUUAAAAAGCAAUGGUUAUGUAGCCUAAUCACAAGAGGUAGCGUGCUUUAUGUGGGAUUUUCUACACCGUAGGUGGUGUAUAAAGAAUUUCUCUUGGUCCACUACCCAUGCUAAUUUUUGGACCCAAGCUAAAGCGUUUGUGACGGGCUCAUCUAAAUCAGUGGGCCCAAAGUAGAUGAAAAGAGCUAUAUCCCCCGUUUGUAGGCCCAAGGAGCCGAUGUUGAAUAACCUAGAAGGCCCACUUUUAAAUAUUAACAAUGGUGAUCUAGAGGCAUCCUCAUCAAAGGUUUUUGUCUUCUCUUCUCCUUCCACUAAAAAUGAUAAUUCUAAAGAGAAGGCACCGAUACUUGUUAAUGAGCACACUGAAGCUACUGAUGGAACUAAUGGAUAUGGACACUUGAAGGGGGAUCAAGUUGGCGGGAAUUUGAAAUCCACUGCUCAAGAACAGGAGAGAGCAGUAGCUUUACUUAAAGGUGUCUUACAAUCUACUCUUUUGUCUUCAGAUUCACGGGGAGAUAUAAAAUAUAAUGAGCGUGAGGACAGUUCUUCUAUACGUAAUAUUAUAAAAUAAAGCUGAUUAUGUGGAAUUGUAGAGGGGCAAGCAAAUCCUUAUUUUUAUCUGAAUUAAGGAGAUCAAUUCAGUUAUAUAAUCCUUAUUUUUGUGUAUUUUUUGAAUCAAAAUUGUCUUGCCGUAGUUUGGAAUUGGUUCAACAGCAUCUUCCUCGACAUUGGGGUUUCUCGGCCAUAGAAUGCUAAGGCUUGAGGGAUGGUAUUAUUGCUAUUUGACAGCAAAUAUAAAAAUUGAUAUUUUUAAUACCUGCACACAACAAAUGAUUUUUGUGAUAUCGGAGCUUCAUAAACUAUCAUGGAUAUUGUUGGCUGUAUAUGCGGAUCGAAAAUAUAGACAGACAAAUUCUUUGGACUGAGGCUUUUGUAUUAUUGGACUAAGAUUGCCUAUAUUGAUUGCAAGAGAUUUUAAUUGUAUUGCUGAUCCUGUGGAAAAAAAAAAAAAGCGAGGCAAACCUUCUUUUGAAAUGAUGGCAGUUAGAGGGUUAUGGGAUUUUAUUUCAUCUAAUGGCCUUUUUGAUCUUGGUUAUACAAGAGGAAGUUAUACUUGGUGAUAUAAUCGGAAAGAUCAGACGAGUUUGGAAGUGCAUUGAUUGAGGUUUUACUAAUGAUAAUUGGAUUCAAAAUUUUCUAGAUUAUCAGACAUGUCAUUUACCUCAUAUUGCCUCGGAUGACUGCCCUAUUCUUAUUGAUGCUGAUUUGGGUGUUACCUGUAAGCUUCCUUUUGGAUUUGAGGAAUUCUGAUUAUAAUAUCCAUAAUGUUGGAAGAUUGAUCAUGAUGCCUAGAACAUGCCUAUUAGAGGUGAUGCGACAUACAAGGUUAUAUGUAAGUUAAAAGUUACAAAGAGGAAAUUGAAAUUCUAGAAUAGAAUGGUGGUUAGAAAUAUUUUCAGAAAAUUAAAAGAACUUGAAGCUAUUAUACAUAUUUGCAGCAGAGAGGUUGCGAUAGUAGUAGCUUAUCUUCGAUGGAUAUGAUUACUCUUUGUGGCCUAACAUCAUUCUAUUCUAUAUCAACAGAAAGUAUUUUGGAGACAAAAGUCUAGAGCGAGUUAGAUCCAAAAGGGAGAGAGUAAUACAAAAUUCUUUCAAUGUGUCAUUAAAAUGGGAAAAAUUGGGAAUAGAAUUCAGUUUCUGAAAUAUAGUGGUGGGAAUGAUUUAGAGGAUGAAGCGACAAGAACUCUUUCACUUUUUUAGAUCUAGAUGGUCAGUGGUUGGUGAUGAUAUUGUAGGAAUUGAAACUCUUUGCCCACCAAAUAUUAUGAUUUCUAGUAUAGAAAAUGAUAUUCUAUUAAGAGCGGUAGAUAAUAAGGAAAUUGAGGAGACAGUGUGGUCUAUAUCUUGUGAUAAGGCUUUGGAGCUUGAUCGCUUUCUUCCUUUCCUUUUCAAUCUUUUUUGACCUAUUAUCUAUAAAGAUGUUUGCUCGAUAGUGAAGCAUUAUUUUAUAUCACAUUCUAUGCCUUAAUCUUGCAAGCAUACUUUUAUUACUUUGGUUCUAAUUAAGCGAUCAGAUACAUCUCUUUUAUCUCACCAUCACUCUAUUAAUCUAUAUACUACUCUGAGUAAAAUUGUUGCCAAACUCCUGAUUAAUAGAAUGCAGUAUAUUCACAUUCUGUAAUUAGUCUGGAGUAUAGUGCUUUAAUUAAGGAAUGGGUAUUUCUAACAAUAUUUUAAUGGCCUGGGAGAUUAUAUAUGAUUUGCAAAGGACUCCAGUAAGGAGAGGCUAUAUGGCCAUUAAAUUAGACAUAGAACAAGCCUAUGAUUGAGUAUGGUGGGAUUUUCUAUUUUCUUUUCUUCAGCAGAUAGAAUUGCACAGUACUUGAAUUGAGUAGACUCGGGAUUGUACUGUCUCUUUAUCAUUUGCUCUAUUAAUUAGUGGUUCUUCAUCAAAUACUUUCUUUUCAUCUAUAAGUGUGUGAUGAGGAUGUCCUCUUACACAUUGUUUCUUUGUUAUUUGUGCUAAUGCUUUAUCUCGCAUACUUAAAUGUGCUGUUUUGAUCAACGCUAUUACAGUAUAUCCUCCUUGUCAAUCUAGUAUUCAUAUCUCUUAUCUUUUUUUUUGCUGAUAAUUGCAUUCUCUUUUCUCUGACUACAUUUAGAAAUGCAAUUGGCUUUUUAAAUAUUUUUACAGGAAUAUUGUAGGGUGUCUGAUCGGAAAAUUAAUUUGGAUUAUAGUAUCAAUUUGGAUGAGUCGCAAUGUGAUAAAUUUGUCAGGAUCAGCCCACUAAUAAAAUGCCUCAAUAUAGUACAAGAUUAGCUUUUCGGAUAUCCAAAAAAAAGGUUCAAGAUUUGGCUUUUCUUUUCACUUGCUCAGGAACAACCAGGAUGUUCUCCAAACAAAAUACCAAUAAACUAGAAAAAGAUGAAUUGUUCGGCUAUAAAAGGCUUUUUGUAACUAAUGAUACAUGUCUUGGAUUCACAAUUCUUAUCUCUUUUUGGAAAGAACAAUAAACAAUAAUGAAUAGCUAAUAAUAAAAAAUAUAUUAAUAAAUUAUUUUUAUUAUGAUUCAUUAAAUAUUUAUCACAAUAAAUAUCUAUAUUUUUCUCAUUCAAAUUUCUUAUUUAUGUUUAUAUUUUAAUCCUUUGAACACAUGCAAAUUGUAUAAAGAUGGAGGAGAAAAUAACAAUGUGGAAAACAAGGUAGAAUUAUUACAAAUAUCGAUUGACUCGGUAUUUGAACUAUUACAGUUAUUGUAUGAUGAUCAAUCAUGAAGGAUUGAUUUCUCUCAAAAGAAGCAUUUUCAUGAAUUUUCAAUAAAUAUCAGGAGUCUAAUGAUGAAAGGGUUUGGGAAAGCUUGAACUCAAUGCCUAUAGUCAUCUGAUAAUUAGGAUUCAUUUCUUGUUACAAAUACUCACUUAAAAUCUUUAUUUUUUCCUUUCUCUCUAUUCAUAUUCCAUGCAUACAUCAUUUGAAUCAAUAGAGAAACUUUUCUUGUACUUGUAGAGCAAAUUUUAAAAUUUUUGAAAACAAUGUUUCCUUAACGCUGAAGUCUCCAAAUAACGGUCUCCUGAUAAAUUGUUAUUUACUAUUGUAAUGAAAACCAUGUAAUCUUCUAUGCCUGAAUGUGCCUUUAGAAAGGUUUUAUUUUAGUUGGAAGAACAGCAAACAAGAAGUGACCCCAAAAGCAGCUUGAACUUUGAUAGAGGCCUAAAAGUGGGUCAUGGUGCAAUUCGUCCUAUAUGGCUUCGGGCUUGCCUAAAUCCAGCAUAAAACCUCACAAGAUGAGCCAAAAGACACCCCUUUUUUAGGCAUCAAAGGUCCAUCAAUUGAAGCCUUGUCAUUUCCGUUCACAAUCCAUCUGAUCCUUCCCAUUUAGCCCCCAUUGUAGCAUUCCAUUCCGUGUCCUUGUUUCUUGGCCAUGGGGACCAUAGGAAGCCCUCCGAGGACCUACAAGCUCGCACACGGCCGGUGUGACCCCUUGUCAUUUCUUGGUCAUUGGGUCUCGUCUUAUUAGCACACAAGAGAACUGGAGGGAGAACAGCUUAGAAGCAUUUGCUCGUGGGAUAAGAGUUGUGACAUAUUGCUUUUAUGUGUUUCCAUGCCAAUAAAAGCAAUGACAAAUAAAGUUGGUGUCGCUAGCAUUGGCGGACCUGGACCAGAGAAUUGGGUGCUUUGUUGUGUUAGCCACUUGCAUUGGUGGACCCAAACCUUACAUUGGUGGUCCUGGUUCAUGCGCACAAGAGAAUGUUGCCAGUGGUGAUACUUAUAUGAUGUUCUCUUGGUUCUCUCUUUUAGGGCAUGUUUGGUGUCACCUCUCUCUCUCUCUCUCUCUCUCUACNNNNNNNNNNNNNNNNNNNNNNNNNNNNNNNNNNNNNNNNNNNNNNNNNNNNNNNNNNNNNCCUCCUCUCUCUCUCUCUCUCUCUCUCUCGGAAAAGAGAGAACUUGGUGCAGAAAAGUCAUCCUAGAAAUCUUUUUAUUUUGCCAAAGAAUUAAUACUAUUACCAAAUAUUUAUUUUUGAAAUUGCAAAACUAUAUUUUUAUCAACUUUUCUUUUUUUUUAAAUUAUUUUUGAUAAAUUCAAUUAUAUUUCAAAUAAUACCGACGUAACUUUAUGAAAAAAACAUGUGCAUAUGUAUGAGAUGGAUUUUGAAAUAGAUGUAUAGUCAUUCUGACUCUAAAACAAAUGAUAGUGUAUUCAUAUUAAAAAUCUACAUCAUUCAUUAUGGUCUAUAUCACUAAAAAUAUUUAGAAACUAAAAUCAUAUGUUUUUGAUAGUUUUUAACUUAUACAUCAUGUGAAUAUAAAAAAUUAUCGAUUUUUAUGAUGCUAGUAUAUUAAAAUAUGUGAUAAAAUAUUUAAAUUAAUAAUUUAUCUUAUGGACUAUAAUGAACUCAUGCUAAAAUAUGCAUAAAAUAAAAAUCAAUAGAUUUUAAUAUUUGUCUAACAGUAAAAUAUGGCCUUGUGCUAUUCAAAUGGUUUAUCUUUAUCUACUUCAUGCUGAGGUAUGAUACCAUCAAAACAUGUGAUUUUUGGUUUGUAAUAAUCUUUGACGGUAUGGGUCAAGUUCCAUGGAUCUUUUAGAUUCUCAAUUAUUAAUUUUUGAGUUGAGGAGGAAGAAUUCUGUAAACAUGGUCUGUCCUUAUCAAUGUAGAGAGAAUAAGAACCAUAGACAAUUGGCCAAGGUAAUUUGUCUUAUGGUAGAAAAGUUGUCUAAUUCGGUGGCUCUAAUAACUUCAAUCUUUCCACCUCAGAUGAGCCUUUAAAUUGGUUUUGGAGUGAAAAAGUAUCGCAAGUCACGGUGCAUGCACAUGAUCUGAUUAAUGGUCGUUGGCCGCUGCUAGGAAGGUGGAAUUAGCGGAAGCUAUUUAGUUGGAACCUUGCAUUGGUUUCAUCCAAGAAGUUUAACAUAUUUCAGAUAUAUUUAAGAUCAUGAUGUUGUUCGUGCUCCUCUUUCCUUCGAGGUCUUAAUUAGAUUUUGCACAUCUAUAUAAGGUCACUCAUAGUAUGCAACCUAAACUUGGUUUGUAAAGAAACACAAAUAGAAAAAUCCUAAGAGCUCAUUCUUUAGAGAAUUAAAAAUUAAAAAAAUUAUAAAAAUAUCUUUUUAAUCUUGAUCUAAUUUAUUUACAUUCAUUAUAUUUUAAAAAAAUUUAAACUGAUCCUUCUAGUUAUCGAUAUAUUCUAAUAUGGUCAAAUCAUUUGCUCACCAGUAAAUGAUAUUAACUUUUUCUCUCAAUAUAUUAAAAUACCUUUUGUUCAUAUGGAAGAAAUCGUCGGUGAAAAAGAGGUGGAGAUGGAGGGAGCCAUCGUGGAGAGGAAGAAUGGGAUUCCAUGAUGGGAGAGGACGAUGUCGAAGGCCUCAUAGAUGGGAUUGGAGGAGGAUGAGAAGAACGAAGUAAGGAGGAAGAGGAGGGGGAAGAGAACGCCGACGAUAAAUAAAUAGAGGUGGUUACAACACCUUGGAAGAAGAGGGCUCAUGAACAUCUUUGAAGGAAGUGGAUGAUAAGGAGGAGAAGAGAGAAUGAGAAGAAAGGGGAGAGGAAAAGAUAAAUUGCCGGUGAGAAGGGAUAGAGAUGGAAGGGGCUAUCAUAAAAGGAUAGGGCUCAUGGACGGACUUAGAGGAGGAAAAAAAUGAGGAGGAGAAGUAGGUGAGGAAGGGAAGAAAAGAUGACUCAUGAAUGGCUUGGAGAAGGAGGAGGAUAAAGAAGAGAAAUGGAUGAAGAAAAAGGUGAGGAGGAUGGAUAAGUCACUGGCGAAGAAUGGUUGGAGAUAGAGGGAGUCGGAAAAAGCUUAUGGGUGAGCUUGAAAAGGGAGAAGAAAAAAAAAGGUCACUGAUGAGGAAUGGAUAGAGGUGGAAAAAGCUAUCAUGGAAGAAGAGAAAUGGGUAAGGAGGAAGAAGAGGGGGAAGGGAGAAAAAGGGACAUUGACGAUAGAGGAGGAGAGCAAUCAGAGAGGAAGAAGGUGAGAGGAGAUAGAGAUAAAAAUAUUUUUAUUAUUUUAUAAAAUAAUGAUAUCAUGUAAUGAUCAUGUGAUAUCAUUUUAUUAAUAAAGAUAGACGACUGGAUCACGUUGGAAUAUAUCGAUAACUAAAAAAAUUAGUUUAAUAUUUUUUAAAAUAUAAAAGGUAUAAGUAAAAUCGAGCUAAAAUUGAGGAGAUAAAUCUGUAUUUUGCUAAAUAAGAAUCUUUUGGAGAAUAUUUGAUAGAAAAAUAUAUUGUCCGUGUUCUUUCAUGCAAUAAAAAAUAAAUCUGGAAUCUAUUAUUCAUAUUCUUUUACAUUAUUAGUUUUUAGGAUAAGCUACUGAAAUAUAUCCAUAUUUCUUACAAUAUUUUUUAUUAUAUAAAUAUUAUUAUAUACUAUAAUAUAUUAUAUUUUAUGUAAUAUAAUAUGUUAUUAUAUAUAGUAUUAAUAUAGAUCAUAUCAUAUAUUACUAUGUAUUAUAUAUUAUAUUUUAUAAUAUAAUAAUAUAUUAUAACAAAAAAAUAAUUGAGUAUAUCAUAUUAUAAUUUCAUACGAUCAUAGUAAUGAUACUAUAUUUAUAUGACAAUAAUAUGAUAUAUUAUAUAUUAUGAUUAUAUAAUAUAUCAUAUUAUAUAAUAUAAUAUGUCACUAUAAUAAUAUAUUAUAAUAUUAUAUUGUAAUAAUAAUAUAUUAUUAUUUGUUAAUAAUAAUAAUAUCAUGCUUUAUGUGUAAUAUAAUAUAUAGUAAUAUAUAACAUACUAUAGAUAACAUAUAUUAUUAUAUUAUAUGAUAUAAUUGUUAUAUAUUAUUACAUUAUUAUCAUAAAAUUAGGGGUUUUUUUAAGAACAAAAUAAAAGUAUUAUUUAAUCAACUGAUGAAAAAAAUUACUCACCUCCUAGAUGGAUAUUUUUUUUUAUUUCAUAAAUAAAUAUUAUUUAUAAAAGAAUAAUCUAUCUAUCUAAAAAUAUAUGAGAAUCUAGAGAUAAGUUAUUCAACGAGAAAGUUCAAUAAUUUUUUCAUAAUUGUUGAAAUGUGCUCUUAGCUAAUAGAAUCAUAUUGAACGUUGCAAUAACUGUAGAAGCCAGUUUGAUAUUUUUUAAAAAUAUAAGAGAUGUAAGUAAAAUUAAAUUAAAGUUGAUGAAAUAUUUUUAUGAUUUAUUUUAAUAUUAUCCAUCCUAAUUUGUCCAAAAUAUGAUAGCUUGUAGUUAUGGAAGGGGAGGGGAUUUAUUAUCUGUUUUUGUCUUUUUUUGCAAGGGAAAAAAAAAGAGAGAGAGAGAAGGCGUGUUGAGCUUGGGUGGCCGUCGUAGUAGUCGAAUAAAUCCAUUUCUGUCUUUUUUGUAAGGAAAAAAAAAGAAAGAGUAGGCGUGUUGAACAUGGGUGGCCGUCGUAGUAGUCGGUGGUCAAAAGUGAAUGGUAGGUGGCUAUCGUCGUGUUAGGUGGUAGGGAUUGGACCUGUAGCCGAAAGUAGCAGAUGGGAAGUCGUGAAUUCUGAUUCGUAUCUGUUCAUUUUGUCUUUUUCAGAGGGAAAAAAAGGGAAAAAAAAACUUGAAUUCGUGGUGGCAGCUUAACGCUGGAAUUCUGUGUAUCAAGCUAAGAUAUAGCAGAGCAUGCGAUAGGAAUGAAAUAGGUUAGAAUAAUGUUGUUUGCUUGGUGAAAGUGUGCUUAUUUAAAUACUUGGGCAGCUAUGUUAUCAAAUCAAGAACUUAAGAUACGGGAUUUAAUGACUAGUCCAAGAAGUAAUUAUAAUGGAGACCUACAUGAGUGGUGGGGGGGGUGGGGGUGUGGGGGAGGGGUGAGAGAGAGAGAGAGAGAGAGAGAGAGNNNNNNNNNNNNNNNNNNNNGGAGGAGAGAGAGAGAGAGAGAGAGAGAGAGAGUGAGGUAGAUGGACUGCUUGUGAAAAGAGUGGUGCGGUCGAUCAUCUGUCAAAUUUAAUACUCGACUUGUUGGAUUGAUAUGAAAAGGGAUUGAUGUACAGAUUGAUGUCAGUCGAUCCCUGUCUAUCGCUCAGAGUAUCAUCAAUUUCUGUAUUGAAGCAGUGGUUGAUAUCUCUACAUUUAUAUAUAUGUGAAAAAUUUCAUUAUGAAAUUCGCAAGUCAUUGCUUUUGGCGUAUGGAUCAUCAACUGCUAAUAAUGAUUUUGGUGGGGCCAACUUCUUAUGAUCUUUUGUGAACAAGCGAUUCGUUGUCACUGCUCACUAGCAUGUUGGCGACUUUUUACUUGCGCGAUUUUUUUUUUUUUAUAUUGGAAGUACAUGCCCUCAUGCACGCAGUCGCAUGCUGGCUGAACUCCCUUUGAUCUCUCCAUUCGACAUGAGUGGGUCAAAAAUGUAGCAAAAAAACCAUGAGCAUAUUAAUUCAAAACUAUAUCAUCAAACGAGUAUCUCAGCAACUCUUUCAAAUACUACAUGAAUGCUAUAUAUCAGCUCUUAACAAAGCAGGUAGCUCGCUCAAGAGGAAUACCUCUCAUGCAGUCCCAAAAUCAGACAUACAUUCCAUCAAAUUCUCUUCCAUUCCAUGUCUUGCCAAUUGAUUAGCACUUGGGUUGCUUCUCCAAAUCUAUGAGUGAAAUAGUCACUAUUUAACUGCUUGAUGUCUUCAACUAAAUCGUUAAGGUACCAUGGAGUUCUCCAUUCACCAUUUAUCAUCCUUACAAAAGCCAAACAGUGACACCGUUUAUGCAUGCUUUUGAUGGAAUCCCAUCUAAAGAGCUAUCUGUAUUAAUCUUGAGCCAACCUAUAGGUGGCAAAUCCCAAGCCACCAGCACCACUUCAUAUCUCUCUCUACUACUCCAACAUACAUAGACUUAUCCAUGAUCCUGAUAUCUAAUAACAUAUUCUCUUUCAAACAAGUCAACUUGCAAAAGCUAAGAGUUUUUCCCCCUAGGAAUUAGUAAAGGCUUUUCAAAAUCCUUGUAAUGUCAUUAUCUAAUCCAAUUCUUAAAAGCUGGCCUGUUCAGAAAUGUAUCCCUUGGCAUCUUCUGAUUUGGCAUUCAAGCCAGGCUAUCAAGAUUUUCCAAAUCGCCAGAGUAUCUAAGUAAAGACCAAAUACAUACCACUACCAAGAUUUUCCAAAGCUCAUAAAAGUAUCGGAGUAAAUACCAAUGCAUGUUGUAUGCUCUUCGUUGUUGCGUUGCGUCUUGGCCAUCCCCCACAAUAAUAUAAUCUUCUUUGAUUCAAGAGCUCCAGGGUGUUGUCCUUUUAUGUGACUUUCUUGCUCUUCUCUGUGAAUGUCAAAUAUAUUCUGAAAAAUUUUCUUAAAAGAUUUGGUCCGAUGAGAAUUAGUUUUCCAUAUAUAUAUNNNNNNNNNNNNNNNNNNNNNNNNNNNNNNNNNNNNNNNNNNNNNNNNNNNNNNNNNNNNNNNNNNNNNNNNNNNNNNNNNNNNNNNNNNNNNNNNNNNNNNNNNNNNNNNNNNNNNNNNNNNNNNNNNNNNNNNNNNNNNNNNNNNNNAUAUAUAUAUAUAUAUAUAUAUAUAUAUAUGUUUUCAAUAAAACAAAAGAAUCAUAUCAUUUUAGUACCAAUAUAUCCUAUAAAAUUAGAAAUUCAAAUAUGAUAAAAUGAAAAAAAAAGAUACAAAAUCAGUUCACAAAAUAUUAUUGAAGUGCUCUACUAAUGCAAGAAGCCAGUCAAUUCGUCAACUAUACCUCGUGAUAUAUUGUAUUAUUUAAUAGAAAUCUAAUCAGCUACUCCCUGCCAAACGAGAGCAUACGUUCUCCCUUCUCUACUUGUAAUUUUUAAUCAUGACAAGACUAGACGCUUCGAAAUAAUGCAUGGGAUAUUUCCAUUCGGCACCAUGCAUUGUAGCUUAUACAAAUAUUAUUAUUAUUAUUUUGGUGAAGUUAUCCAAAUAUUAUUAGUUUUCUCUUUCCCUGCAAAAAAACAAAAGUUCUCUUCACGACAACGUCUACCAUGCAUUGCCGGCCAGUAGAGAACCAGAUCAACAGGAUAGGGGCCUCCCUCCAUGAUCCAUUAGAACCAUGUGGGUAAUGAUCAGUCUCCAAAUACAUCUGAAUGGCCCUACUUAAAAGCGACACAUCAUCACACUCGGAAUAAUCUCCUACCCACAAACCAAGCCACAUUGCAGCGAGCAAAAUGAUCCUUCUCUUUUUUCAAAUGAAGACAAGGUAAAUAGAAAAGUAAAAGUGGAAAGCAAAUAAGUUCUUUUCAGCCUUGCAGCUGUGCCCUAAAGCCACCUUUUGCAUUGAAGGCUGUCUCUUUCUUCCCAUGCUUCUUUAAUCACACAUGACAGAGAGGAACGGAGGGAAUGUGGAAGCUUACACACUAUUGAACUUUGGUGUGAGCCCUACCACCCAUAGAGUUAUGUAGAGAUUUCCAAAUUUAGGUUCUUAGGCUAGGCUAUUUUUGUGAUUUAGUACUUAAUGCCACCCUUCUUGCUAGGGUUUACUACUCUUAUCCUUUUCCUUUAAUGUUGGUUUGGAGAUCUAGUGCACUUCUUGCUAGAUCCGACCUUGCCCUGUUUUCCCUACCACAUCACCGGAAAACUCCCGACAAAAGGGAGCUAAGGCCUAGAUUAUGAGGUAAACAAAAGUGUCUAAUUUUCUUUCUUUUUUAACCAAAAAAGAUAAAGCUGUCGUGGAGGUGCAUCUAAGCUGAUUUGGACU
rnacentral:lncRNA from 1 species